rnacentral:lncRNA from 1 species
UUGAAUCUUGAUGAGUUCAAGAACUCGGAUGCUGAGUUGCAGGUUCCGAGUUAUGCUAACUCGGUUCCAGGUAAGGUCUUCCCUACUAUGAUUUUUGACAAGGGAGUCGAUGGCGCUGCAGGGCAUAUGUAUCAUAUGAGAAGAUUAAGACAAGCCAAGGGUGUUAUGGUAAACACAUUUAUUGAUCUUGAAUCACAUGCUAUUCAAUCAUUUUCUGGCAGUACAGUACCGCCAGUGUAUCCCGUUGGACCCAUUCUCAACACUAGAACGGGAUUUGGUGAGGAUCAACAAAAUGCUAGUGCCAUCAUGAGCUGGCUUGAUGAUCAGCCUCCAUCGUCUGUGGUUUUCCUAUGCUUCGGGGGCAUGGGAAGCUUUGGUACGGAUCAGAUCAAGGAGAUAGCAUAUGGGCUAGAGCGCAGUGGGCAUCGCUUCUUGUGGUCCCUUCGCCAAGCUCCCCAAAAGGGUAAAAUGGCAUUUCCGAGAGACUAUGAAAAUAUUGAGGAAGUUCUACCAGACGGGUUUUUACAUCGGACGGCUAGAAUUGGAAAGAUAAUUGGAUGGGCUCCACAAGUAGCGGUUUUAGCCCACACAGCUGUUGGAGGAUUUGUUUCUCACUGUGGAUGGAAUUCUCUCCUCGAAAGCAUAUGGUACGGUGUUCCAGUAGCCACAUGGCCAAUAUAUGCGGAACAACAAAUCAACGCUUUCCAAAUGGUGAAAGAUUUAGGAUUAGCAGUAGAAAUUAAAAUUGAUUAUAAUAAGGAUAACAACUAUAUUGUAAAUGCUCAUGAGAUUGAAAACGGAUUAAGGAAAUUGAUGAGCAUUAAUAGUGAAGUGAGGAAGAAAAUGAAUGAAAUGCAACAAAUAAGUAGAAGAGUUAUAAUAGAUGGUGGAUCAUCGCACUCUUCUUUAGGUCAUUUUAUUGAAAACGUAAUGACCAAUAUUCCAUAACCUAAUGUAUCGGAUCGUUACUUUAUCAUAUGUUUUUAUUUCAAUGUUGAUGUAAUUUCUUUGAUUUUGAAAUCUAUAAGAAAGUUUGUUAUCUUUUUAUCAUUUAGUGAAGAAAGUUUAAAAUGAUAUAAAUUUAAUCAUAUGUAGAUUUUAGUUGUUAAUGAAUGCAUAAUUGAUAAUCUUCCGUAUAGGGAGUUAAGUUAAUAAUAAAAUAAAUAAUAUAAUUAACAAUCAACAAAGCUUUUAAAAUUGUUUUAUUAAGGUCAAUAGUAAUAGUACCAUUGGGAAUUUGAUGGUCCAAUUUGAGCUUGGACAUCUAAAAGUCUAUUUUAUUAUAGUAAAUACUAGCUAGAAUUUGUUCAAUUGGGUCUAUAUUAAGGUUGGAAAGAGAAAUGUCCAAGAUGAUCAUUAAUUUUGUAACAUACAUAAUUAAGUAAUAAUUAAUAGGAAAUGACUUUUUCAAGACCUAUUAAAUUAAAAUUAAAAUUCAAAAAAAAAAGUUAGGUGAAUAAACAAAAUAAUAACUUUUAUAUGAAUAUAAAAAAACUUUAUUAAAAAAAAAUGAGGAGUUCACGUGCUUUCAAAAACUGAAAUUCCAUGUAAUAAAAAUGCUUUUAACUUCAAAAUUUUAAUCUAUUGUUUUUUUGAAGGGAAAUUUUUCCUAUUUAUAUAAGAAUUUUUAGUAAUUUUUUAGUUUAAUUAUGUAGGACAUGCGCCUUAAGCAACCUCUUCGGGUCAUAUUAUUUUAUUAUUUUUCCCUGUUAUGUUUCCUUUUCAAAUAGGAGUUGACAUAAAUACCCUUCUCUACAUGCACUAUGAAGUGAUCGGACUGCCCUCAAUUGUCAUCAAAAUUUCAUGUAUUUACCUCUUGUCAUGUAGUGUCCAAUUCUUCACACCCUCAUAUGGUGCUUCUAAUAUAUUCCCAAUAAUUCUUUAUGUCUCUAUGCAUGAUAUUUGAUAACUUCAAAGUGUGACAUGUGACACUUCUAGUGCAUCCCUAAAUUAAUACUUAUAGUUUAGUUAAUGUAAUUCUUUUCUAGCCCAUUUGCAUAGUGUUGAGAUUAUUCAACUUUUCUAAUUAUUUUAAAUUGUUAGGAAUUUAAUUAUUUUACUAAUGUUUUACUUUCUCUAAUUAUUUUUAAUCUAAUUGGAUUUUUAAUUGUUUUAUUUAUUUUACUAAGGUUUUACUUUCUCUAAUUAUUUUAAAUUAAAUUGGAUUUUUAAUUAUUUAAUUUAUUUAUUUUCAAAAAUUGAAAAAAAAAUUCUUAUCUAAAAAUCCAAGAUGUUAAUCAAUGUAGCGAAAAAAAAAAAGUAAAAGAAAUUUUAUAUAAUCUAGAUAACAUAUAAUUUUAAUUUGUUUUUUUCUUUUUUUUUCACGAAAUCAAUACUAAUUCCUCUAACCUCAAAGAAACACACAAAUUUUUAGAAAAAAUUACUGUUAAAAGACUUAAUCCUCACCUAACAUAAUAUAUAUAUAUAUAUAACCAUUACUAUUAAUUAUUAGUUAAAAUUAUAAUUUGAUAUUCCUAAAAAUUGGAUAUAUUAUUAUUAUUAUUAUUAUUAUUAUUAUUAUUAUUAUUAUUAUUCCUCAUUAUAUUAAUUUAAUUAAUCUAUUCUUAAAUUAGAUUGAGUUAGUAAAUUUCCCAUUUACUUAAAAUUAUUAACUCCAAAACUUGAUUCUAAAAAUAUACCAAUUUGAUUUCAUUAAACCAAGAGUUUAUUUUAUUUAUUAAUUUAAAACUAAACAUUUUAUCAUACCAUCUCAUUACUCUUUUCUUUUCUUUUUUCUUUUUAAUAAAUACUCAUUGAUAGCAUCAAAUCCAACAUUUAAACAUCACUGUAACCUUUUUUUUAUUAUUUUAUAAGAAAGUUUAUUCUCUUUUUAUCAUUUAAUGAAGAAAGUUUAAAAUGACAUAAAUUUAAUCAUAUGCAAAAUUUGGUUGUUAAAGAAUGCACAAUUGAUUAUCCUCUAGUAGGGAGUUAAAAUAAAUAAUAUAAUUAAUAAUUAACAAAACUAUUAAAAUUGUUUUAUUAAGGUGACAGUAAUAGUACAAUUGGGAAUUUUAAGAUCCAGUUUGAACUUGGACUCCUAAAAGUCUAUUUUAUUAUAGUGAGUACUAGAAUUUGUUCACUUGGGUCACUAUUAAUGUUGGAAAGAGAAAUGUCCAAGAUGGUCAUUAAUUGUGUAACAUACAUAAUUAUAUAAUAAUUAAUAGGGAAUGACUCUUUCAAGACCUAUUAAAUUAAAAAAAAAAAAUUCAAAAAAAAAAAAGGUGAAUAAACAAAUUAAAUAAUAACUUUGAAUAAACAAAAUAAUAAUUUUUAUAUAAAUAUAAAAAAAUGAGGAUGUCAAUUGCUUUCAAAAACUGAAAUUCCAUGUAAUAAAAAGCUUUUAACUUGAAAUUUUUAACCUAUUUUUUGUUUUGGUUGUAAAUUUUUCCUAUUUAUAUAAGAAUUUUUUAGUUUAAUUUUGUAGAACAUUAACCUUAAGCCAACUCUUUGGUUCACAUUAUGAUGUGACAUAAAUACCCUUUCAAAUAGGAGUUGACAUAAAUACCCUUCCCUACAUUAUGAAGUGAUCGAACUACCAUUAAUUGUCAUCAAAAUUUUAGGUAUUUACCUCUUGUCAUGUAGUGUCCAAUUUUUCAUAUCCUCACAUGUGACAUUCAGCGACCAUGUGGUGCUUCUAAUAUAUUCCCAACUAUUCUUUAUAUCUCUAUGCAUGACAUUUGACUACUCCAAAGUGUGACAUGUGAACUUCUAGUAUAUCCCUAAAUUAAUACUUAUAGUUUAGUUGAUGUAAUUCUUUUCUAGUCCAUUUGCAUAGUUUUGAGGUUAUUCAACUUUUCGAUUAUUUUAAAUAAUGGGGAAUUUAAUUAUUUUACUAAUGUUUUACUUUCUCUAAUUAUUUUAAAUUUAAUUGGAUUUUUAACUAUUUUAUUUGUUUUACUAAGAUUUUAAUUUCUCUAAUUAUUUAUAAUUUAAUUGAAAUUUUAAUUAUUUAAUUUAUUUAUUUUCAAUUUUUUUUUAAAAAAAAUCUUAUCUAAAAAUCCAAGAUGCACAAUCAAUGUAGAGAAAAAAAAAAGUAAAAGAAAUUUUAUAUAAUUCCAAAUAACAUAUAAUUUUUUUUCAUGAAAAUCAAUACUAAUUCCCCUGCACAAAUUUUAAAAAAAAAUUAUUGUUAAAGAACUUAAUCAUCCAUCACCUAACAUAAUAUAAUAAUAAAAAAAACCAUUACUAUUAAUUAUUUAGCUAAAAUUAUAAUUUGAUAUUCCUAAAAAUUGUAUAUAUCAUUAUUAUUAUUAUUCCUGAUUAUAUUAAUUUAAUUAAUCUAUUCUUAAAUUUAGGUUGAGUUAGUAAAUGUCCCAUUCGUGUUUAGGUUUAAGUUCACCUGUUGAUCUUCCUUCAACAUCAAGUAUUAAUGGUGGGCUUCAACCAUAUUCAAUUGAGUCUCAUACCCUUUGAAUUGACAAGCCUUUCUUUGGCUUCAAUCAAAGAUUGGUGUCUCUGAUAGGAGCACCAUCUUGUAGGGGCAUAAUAGUGCAGAAUCUCAUCCCUAUAAUCUUAUAGAUUCACAUCCCGAUGUUAAAGCCUCACCAACUCAAUCAAGAUCUCCAAAUGGGUGAAAUUCUACAAUAAUCAAUGACCAAUUACACGGGUAAACUCUAAAUCAUUUAGUCAUAAGUUAUGACAUCAUUUUUAUAGCUUUCUGUACAUAAUAUUCAUGUUUUGUAUUUAUAUAGUGUAUUGACUAUAAAUGAAUACAAGCUUUCACAUUAGUAUUAUGUAUUUAUUAUUUUUUUUGUUAACCCCAAAUGUAUAAUUUUAUUGUAAGUGUAUAAUAUUCAUACUAUGUAUUUAUAUAGUGUAUUGAUUGUAAAUGAAUUCAAGCUUUCUCAUCAAUAAUGUUUUUUUCUAUUAGCCCCAAAUGUAUAAUUUUGUUGUUUGUUUUAUAUGAAAAUGGUAGAAAUCUAGAACCACUAACUCUUGCCUCGAUCUUCAACAAAGGCCAACCACAAAUCAUACAAAAGCGACGAGUACCAGCUAUAAUAACAUUUAUAUUAAUAUAAAAAACUUUUAUUAAAAAAAAAUGAGGACCUCACAUGAUUUCAAAAGAUGAAAUUCCAUGUAAUGAAAAGAUAAUUUUUUUCUUAUUUAUAUAAGAAUUUUUGGUAAUUUUUUAGUUUAAUUUUGUAGAACAUGAAGCUUGAACAAACUCAUCAAGUCGCAUUAUUUUAUUAUUUUUCCUUUUUUAUGUUUCUUUUUCAAAUAUUAAUUAAUGUAAAUACCCUUCUCUACAUUAUGAAGUGAUCGAACUAAUGAAUUUUCAUUUGCAACAUCAAAUUCUCCACGAGGAUUCAAACAUCACUGAAAUACUUAAGGUCAUCACAUGUUUUUCAUCAUACACUAUAACACCCCAAAUUAAUUUUUAAGGUUAGAAACGCAAAUUAGAAAUACAAAAAAUAAGUAAAUAAAUAAAUAAUUUUAAUAAGAGUAGAAAGUUCUUUUUGUAUUUAAAAACCCUAUAAAUUAUAUUUUUCUUGUCAUCUCUUUACAUAAACCCUUUGUGCAUAGAGAUUAGAGAAAUUAGGAAACGCAGUGUUGAAGAUUUAGGGAUUUAGGGUUUGAAGAUUAGUUUUUUGGAUAAGAGUUUUAACCUUGAGAUUAGCAUUUUAUAUUAAUUAAUUAAUUAAUUUUGAAUUAUUUUUUAAAAAAAAUUUGAAAGAUCUCAUAUAGAUUAGGGUUUGUUAUUUAAUUUUUUUUUUUAGAUAAAAAAGAUUGGGAAUUUAUGAACAUAGUGUGGACCCCAUAUUUCGGCUCAUGCGUUUUCCACUCAAUGGCGAGCUCGAUUUUAUUUCGAAAAAUUGAUUUUUAUUUGAUUAAGAAAAAAUUGACUUGGAGUCGCCACUUAUUUUUGUUUUAAUUUUAAAGGGGUAAACAAAAUAAGAAAGAAAAACCCUAAAUGUGACUCCUUGUUUCGGAAAAGGUGGUCAGUGAAAAACCGGAUCCGGUUCGAGGGUCAGGUUACUUAUCGGGAAGGUACGGUGAAGACCAUAGCACCCCUCUAAGCCCCUAAAGUCGGGUCUCUACUAAAAAAAUGAAGCAAUCAUGACAAUUGAUGAGGAAAACAAUGAAUACCCGGAACUAUCAUGCACAUAGAAGAAUCAAAACAUGUAUAUGGAAAUACCGGAAUGGGGAAUAGAUACGUACUUGGGUGACGAGCCACAAUGCGCUUAUCAAAAAGUGAAGUUAGUGCACAAUUAAAGAAUAAUUUCAAACAUGUCAUAGGGCAGAAUAGAAACAAUCAUGCAUGACAACUAAAUCAAUCAGUUAUAAAGUCGCAUAUGUUGGGCUCCCACCAAUACCCAUUUAUUUUACAUGGACCAAAUCCGUAAAUUCCAUUAUUCAGAAUUACAAAAUUUGUUUCAUUGCUUAUUUCAAAACAUUUUUAAAACAGAGGAGCAGAAGAUCGUUUUGAAGACCAGAAUGGAAUUAAGCUAUUUGAGAGAAAAUUAGAUUUUUGAAAUUUAAUUGAAGAAUUGGAAUCUCGAAGAGCACUAGAAAAUUGGAGUUUUAGAGUUUAUUUGGAUAUUAGACUUUUAGAGAUUGAAUGUGGGAAUGAGAAUUUUCAGAAACUGAAUUUGAAAGAGGUUGGAAUUUUGAAAACGAUUUGAGGGCUCGGGAUUUUAGAGAAAGAUUAAGUUGCGAAAAUUGAGACUUUGGGAGUUGAAUUUUGAAAGAGAUCAGAAUCGUAAGUUAUUUGAGAAAUAGAAAUUAUGAAAGUUGAUGUGUAAAAAUUGGAAAUCUUAGAAGUCAUUCGAAGACGGAAUUUAUAAAAAUAAUGAAUAAGAUGAUAAUGAUAAUGAUAAUAAUAAGUAGCGGGAUAAAUACGGGAAUUGGAGCAUGGGAAACUGAAAAUUAAGUUCGGAGAUAGGACACUUGGAAUUUUAGACAGCUAAAUUUAGAAAUCGGAAUUUUGAAGAAUUAGACUUUAAUGAUUGAGAUUUUUAAGAGAAAUAAAUGGGUAAAUAUGGAAUAACGUUAUUAGUUAAUCAAAACGAUAUUUGGACGGAUGAAUAGUGAAUAGUGAGAUUUGUGAGAUUGAAAACUAAAUUGGAAAAUCGGAUUUUGACGAAAGUGAUAUUUGAACGGAUGAAAGUGAAUAGUGGGAUUUUGAAAAUUAAGUUUGAAAGUCGGGCCUUUGAAUAAUUGAACUCUAAUUAUUGGAAUUUUUAGAAGAAAGAAACGAGUAAACGUGGAAUUUAUAACAAUGAUAACAAAGAUGAUAUUUGAGUGAAUAAAAGUGAAGGGUGGGAUUUUUGAGUCUCAAGGUUUAAUUUGGAAGUCCGGUUUUGAAGAAUUGAAUUUUAAUGAUCGAAAUAAAUAAGUAAAUAAGUAUGGAGUAAUGAUACUAAUUAACAAAAAUAAUGUUUAAACGAAUAAAAAAGAGGAUAGUGGAAUUUUUCUAAUUGAGAAUUUGAAUUAGGGUGUUGGAUUUUUAAGGGAUAUGACUUUGAAUAAAUAGGUAGGUAUGGGAUUAUAAUACUAAUUAACGAGAAUAACAUUUCGGUGAAUAAAGAUGGAUAGUACAAUUUUUGGAAUUGAAGUUUUAAUUAAGGCAUGGGGUUUUCGAGUUGAUAAAUAUGAGAUUUAAAAGAGUAUUUGAAGAAUUAAAACAUGUGAUCUUGACUUUCUUUUAUAGAUUGGACUUUGAAUAAAUAAUAAAUACGGGAAUAAUAAUUCGAAUUAUGAAAAUAUGAUUUAAGCAAGUAUUUGAAGAAUUAAAUUAUAGUAUGAGAUUUUUGAAGGAUUGGUAUGAAUAAAAUAGGAGAAUAUAAGAUAAUAAUUCUAAUUGAUAAAUAUGAGAUUUAAAAGAGUAUUUGAAGAAUUAAAACAUGUGAUCUUGAUUUUCUUUUAUAGAUUGGACUUUGAAUAAAUAAUAAAUACGGGAAUAAUGAUUCUAAUUAAUGGAAAUAAGAUUUAGACGAAUAUUUGAAUAAUUAAAUUAAGACAUGGGAUUUUUAAAGGAUUAGACUAGAUAAAUAUGGGAUAUUGAUUCUAUUUAAUGAAAAUGAUAUUUAAACGAAUAUUUGAAGAAAUAAAUUAAAACAUGGGAUUUUUGAGAGAUUAGACUAGAUAAAUAUGAGAUAUUGAUUCUAUUUAAUGAAAAUGAGAUUUAAACGAAUAUUUUAAGUUAAAACAUGGGAUUUUUGAAAGAUUAGACUAGAUAAAUAUAAGAUAUUAAUUCCAUUUAAUGAAAAUGAGAUUUAAACGAAUAUUUGAAGAAUUAAAUUAACACAUGGGACUUUCGAAAGAUUAGACCUUAAAUAACUAGAUAACUAUGGGAUAAUAAUUUUAAUUGAUGGAAACAAGAUCUAAACGAGCUUUUGAAAAAUUAUUAAUAAACGAGAUUUAUAAAAUAUGAUAAAUAGAUAUACACGAAAAAAGUAAUAAAAAAAAUAAUUAAAAAAAUAAAUAAUAAUAAUGAUAAUAAUAAUAAUAAUAAUAAAUAAUUAUAAUGUUUAAGCUAGCGAAAUUGAAUAAUAUAAGCUUCAAGAUAAAACUAUAAUUAACAAUAAUAAUUUGACUUUCAAUUUUCUUUAAGAUGAGUUAACUAAAUGUGUAAAAAUAAGAUGACAAAUAAAAGGGGAUGAUUGAAUUAAUUAAUUAUGGAUAUUAGAGGCUUUUAUAAAAUUGCUUAAAGUUUGGGGCAGCCUAAUGGGCUGACUUGACGUGGACCUGGGCCACCUUAAUAAGGAUGGCAGGCAUGGGGAGCUAUGGGGCUAUCUCUUAAUGCAAAUGGGUUGGGCCCUAAAUUCAAAACCAAGCCCAAAGCCAUCAUGGGCUAUCCUCAAGGCAGCCAUCUCCAGUUGGGCGUCACCCUCGAAGGGAGCCUUCCACCAUCGGCGGCACGAUGAAGAGGGGAGCUGCGGCAGCGCGAUGAAAAGGGGAGCCGUGGCGGUGGUCUGGUGACGUCCAGAAGGUGUUGCCGCCGUGGUGGCUGGUGCAGGCGCGCGCGUAGACGGAGCAGGUGGUGGCGGCCUGGCAACUUCCUACAUCAAACUACCCUUAAUUGUCAUGUAGUGUCCAAUUUUUCAUAUCCUCACAUGUGACAUUGGGCGACCAUGUGGUGCUUCUAAUAUAUUCCCAAUUAUUCUUUAUAUCUCUAUGCAUGACAUUUGACUACUCCAAAGUAUGACAUGUGACGCUUCUAGUAUAUCCCUAAAUUAAUUCUUAUAGUUUAGUUUAUGUAAUUUUUUUCUAGUCCAUUUGCAUAGUUUUGAGGUUAUCCAACUUUUCUAAUUAUUUUAAAUUAUUGGAAACUUAAUUAUUUUACUAAUGUUUUACUUUUUUUCUAAUUAUUUUAAAUUUAAUUGGAUUUUUAAUUGUUUUAUUUGUUUUACUUAGGUUUUACUUUCUCCAAUUAUUUAUAAUUUAAUUGAAUUUUUUACUAUUUAAUUUAUUUAUUUUCAAAAAUCGGAAAAAAAAAUUAUCUCAAAAUCCAAGAUGUUACACAAUCAAUGUAGAGAAAAAAAAAAGUAAAAGAAAUUUUAUAUAAUUCCAAAUAACAUAUCAUUUUUUUUCACGAAAAUCAAUACUAAUUCCCCUAACCUCAAAGAAACCCACAAUUUUUUUGAAAAAUUUAUUGUUAAAGAACUUAAUCAUCAACUAACAUAAUAUAAAAAAUAAAUAAAUAACCAUUACUAUUAAUUAUUUAGCUAAAAUUAUAAUUUGAUAUUCCUGAAAAUCGUAUAUAUAUAUAUAUCAUUAUUAUUAUUAUUAUUAUUCCUCAUUAUAUUAAUUUAAUUGAUCUAUUCUUAAAUUUAGGUUGAGUUAGUAAAUUUCCCAUUUACCUAAAAUUAUUAACUUCAAAACUUGAUUCUAAAAAUAUGUCAAUUUCAUUUCACUAAACCAAGAUUUUAUUUUAUUUAUUAAUUUAAAACUAAACAUUUUAUUAUACCAUCUCAUUACAAUUUUUUUUUUAAUAAAUCCUCACUGAUAGCAUUAAAUUCCUCACCAACAUUCAAACAUCACUAUAACUUUCUUUUAUUAUUUUAUCAUACCAUCCCAUUACUCCUCCUAUAUCUUGUUGAAAUGGAUCUUCGUUUGCAGCAUCAAAUUCUCCACUAGCAUUCAAACAUCACUGCGACACCUAUGGUCAUCACACAUUUUCCAACACCUACAUCAUACACUGUAACAGCUCGAAUUAAUUUCCAAGGUUAUAAUCGUAAAUUAGAAAUAUAAAAAAAAUUUAAAUAAUUUUAAUAAGAGUAGAAACGUUUUUUGUAUUUAAAAACCCCAUAAAUUACAUUUUUCUUCUCUUCUCUUUACAUAAAUCCUUUUUGUAUAGAGAUAAGGGGAAUUAGAGAACGAAGGGUUGAAGAUCAAUUUUUUAAACAAGAUUAUUAACCUUGAGAUUAGUAUUUUAUAUUUAUUAAUUAGUUUUAGACAUUUUAAAUUUUUUUUGAAAGAUCUCGAUAUAGAUUAAGGUUUGUUAUUUAAAUUUUUUUUAGAUAAAAAAGAUUAAAAAUUUAUGAACAUAGGUAGAUUUAUUAAUGAAGAACAACACAUCUCUAUUUUAGCACCUUAAAAAAGUUAGCUAUGAAGGACAUGUUCAAUCACAAGUCAUCAAUAUAGACAAAAAAAAUAAAUAAAUAUAACAUUGUUGUUGCAAUUGUAAAUAAAAAGAGAUGAAUUUUUUUAAUGAAAGACAAUAAAGACUUACAUCAUUUUCUUGUCAUCGAAGCUAUCUCCAUGUCUCAAGGGUUACUACCCACUCAUCAUAUAUAUGUAUGAGUGUAGACCCUAAAAUUUGUCCUAAAUUUAUUUCUAUAUUAAUUUUGACCUUAAUUUUAUUUUUAAAUUUUAAAUCUUGAUUACAUAUAAUAUUUUUAAUCCACUCAUCAUUUAAUUUUUAAUUUUUAUUAUUUUAUAUAUUAUUUUAUUUUAUUUUAUUAUUACUAUUAUUUUUUCUUUCUUUUUCUUUUCUUUCUUUUCUUUUUUUAUUUCUUUCCUCUCUCCUCUCUCAUCAUUGCCCCACGUCAACCCCAUAGCCCCCUCUCUGAGUCACUUCCAUAUUCUCUCUCCUCUCACUUUUCUUUUUCUUUUGGACUUUUUUUGCUUCCCCAAAAAUAGAGCCCAGGUUGGUUUGCAAAUUUAUGACACGUGGAGUAUAGAAUUUCAUGAGAGAAAAUGAGACUCGAAAAACUAUAAAUAGAGUAUUGAAUUUGUUGUAAACUUAUUUGGGUACAUAUUUUAUUACCUUCUUUUAUUUUAUUUUAAUUUUAUUGGUUUCUAUAAAUAUUAUUUUAUAUAUAUUUAUUGAGUGUACAUAAUUGAAUAUUGAACAAAUUAAAAAUUUUGUUUAAAUAAAAUGAUUAAUUCAGUAAACAUGUUUUAAUAAAAUAAUAAUUUAAAAAUAUUCUGCUUAAUAAAAGAAAUUUUUUUAUUAAUAAAAAUUUAGAAAAAUGCUUUUAGAAAAAUCCAAAAAAAUUAUUUUAAUAGAAUUUGAAAAAUUGUUUUUAAUAAUGAUUGCCCAAAAAUUUCUUUGUUUAAUAAAAAGUGUCCAAAAAUUAUUCUAUAAACAAAAUUGUCCCAAAAAAUAAUUUUUAAUUAAAAAUUGUUUUGUAAAUAAAGUUGUAUUUUUUUUUAAUAAUUUGUAUAAGUCACUUUGAUGGUAAUGUUAUCUCUUAGUUUGCAAACAAAUGUUUGUUGUUCAAUCUUGCAUGGAGUUUGAAUAUUAGACCCUUGCUUGCACAGUUGCUGAAGUCAUUUGGCUCAAAUCUCUUUUGGGUGAACUUAGUCUUCAACUCCCUAAGACACUUAUUAUAAAUUGUGACAACAUUCGCGUUACUUACCUUUCUAUCAACUCCUUUUCACUCAAAAAUGAAAUACAUUGCUAUCAACUUUCACUUUGUGUGUGAUCAUGUUGUCAAUGGGUAUCUCAUCGUAUCAUAUAUCUCUACCAAAGAUUAACUUGCAAAUGCUUUGAUUAAGCCUUUAAGUCAACAACUCUUUCUUCGAAUUCGAUCCAAUAUUGGUGUCUCUGAUGGGAGCACCAUCUUGCAGUGGCGUAAUUGUGCUGAAUCUUAUCCCUGCAAUCUUGCAGCUUCACAUCCUGAUAUUCAAGCCUCACAAACUUAACCAAAAUCCCUAAAUGGAUGAAAUUUUGUAAUCAAUGACUAAUUACAUGGGUCAACUCUAAAUCAUUCGGCCAUAAUUUAUGAUAUCAUUUUUGUAAUUUUCUGUGCAUAAUAUUCACUCUGUAUUUAUACAGUGUCUUGACCAAAAAUGAACACAAGCUUUCUCAUCAGUAUUAUUUUUUCUGUUAGUCCCAAAUGUAUAACUUUAUUGUUUGUUUUAUAUGAAAAUGUUAGCCCUAAAUGGAUGACUUCAUUGUUUGUUUUAUAUGAAAAUGACAGAAAUCUAGAACCACUCACUUUUGCCUCAAUUUUCAACAAAGGCCAACACAAAUCAUACAAAAACGACAAGUAAAGGAAAAUAGAUUGAAACAGCUAAGCCAUGACAUCAGUUUCUCGGCCCCCAAGACUAAUCAGGCUGGUUAGGAAAAGUCAUUUAUAACCCAUUCAGCCACAAGUAUAAUUAUCACACCACCGCAAAGCCCUCAAAACAUCCAAUAUUUUUCUCUUUGCAGUGACUGCUAGUUAGUGAUGAAACAAACUGAGCUUGUCUUCAUCCCAGUUCCGAUCAUUAGCCACCUUUCGCCUACAGUGGAGAUUGCAAAGCUGCUUACUCAGCGAGACCCCCGAUUCUCAAUCACGAUCUUCAUCAUGAAGUUUCCGUUUGGGUCCAUUGAUAGUAUGACCACGGACUCUGAUUCCAUACGUUUCGUCACACUUCCUCCUGUAGAGAUCAGCUCCGGAGCGACGACGCCUAGUCCCUUCAUGCCUGAAUUCAUCAAAGCUCAGACACUACUCGUCAGAGACGCAGUCCACGAGCUCACUCGCUCCAACUCGGUUCGGCUCGCUGGGUUCGUUAUUGACGCGCUCUGCACCCACAUGAUUGAUGUGGCCGAUGAGUUUGGGGCGCCUUCCUAUCUCUUCUCCACUUCCAGCGCCGCUUCUCUUGGCUUCCUGUUGCAUCUUCAGUUCCUCCAUGACUAUGAGGGGUUGAAUCUUGAUGAGUUCAAGGACUCGGAUGCUGAGUUGCAGGUUCCGAGUUGUGCUAACUCGGUUCCAGGUAAGGUCUUCCCUCCUAUGAUUUUUGACAAGGGAGUCGAUGGGGCUGCAGGGCUUAUGUAUCAUAUGAGAAGAUUAAGACAAGCCAAGGGUGUUAUGGUAAAUACAUUUAUUGAGCUUGAAUCACAUGCUAUUCAAUCAUUUUCUGGCAGUACAUUACCGCCAGUGUAUCCCGUUGGACCCAUUCUCAACACUAGAACGAGAUUUGGUGAGGAUCAACAAAAUGCCAGUGACAUCAUGAGUUGGCUUGAUGAUCAGCCUCCAUCGUCUGUGGUUUUCCUAUGCUUCGGGGGCAUGGGAAGCUUUGGUGCGGAUCAGAUCAAGGAGAUAGCAAAUGGGCUAGAGCGCAGUGGGCAUCGCUUCUUGUGGUCCCUUCGCCAAGCUCCCCCAAAGGGUAAAAUGGCAUUUUCGAGAGACUACGAAAAUAUUGAGGAAGUUCUACCAGACGGGUUUUUACAUCGGACGGCUAGAAUUGGAAAGAUAAUUGGAUGGGCUCCACAAGUAGCGGUUUUAGCCCACACAGCUGUUGGAGGAUUUGUUUCUCACUGUGGAUGGAAUUCUCUCCUCGAAAGCAUAUGGUACGGUGUUCCAGUAGCCACAUGGCCAAUAUAUGCGGAACAACAAAUCAACGCUUUCCAAAUGGUGAAAGAUUUAGGAUUGGCAGUAGAAAUUAAAAUUGAUUAUAAUAAGGAUAACAACUAUAUUGUAAAUGCUCAUGAGAUUGAAAAUGGAUUAAAGAAUUUGAUGAGCAUUAAUAGUGAAGUGAGGAAGAAAAUGAAUGAAAUGCAACAAAUAAGUAGAAGAGUUAUAAUAGAUGGUGGAUCAUCGCACUCUUUUUUAGGUCAUUUUAUUGAAAAUGUAAUGACUAAUAUUCCAUAACUUAAUGUAUCAUAUCGUUAUUUUAUCAUAUGCUUUUAUUUCAAUGUUGAUGUAAUUUCUUUGAUUUCGAAAUCUAUAAGAAAGUUUGUUAUCAUGGGAAAAUUGUGUUUUGGGUCCAAAAAUUAAUGUAUGGUCCAUAUAAGUUUCAUAUUUAAGCCCAACACCCGAUGAAAGAGUGGAAAUUGAGAGUAAGGAUAUUAUCUUUAAAAAAUCCCUAAAACGUCCUUGACUAUUAAAUGAAAAAAGUAACCACUCACUUCACAUUUCUCAUUCUCUAUUUGACUCUUUUACCCUUCUCUCACCUAUUUAAUAGUGGAACCAACUUGAAUUAUUUUUCUUCCUCAAAUAUGAAAGAUGGUUAAAAAUUAUUAUUAUCAAAUAUAUUUUUGAAGUGAAUAACUUUUAAAUACCUCAUCAAAUAUUAUUAUUAUUUUUUCAAACUUACAUAAUAUAUAAUAAAUAUUUUGUAAAUAUAUUGAAAACUUACAUAAUAUAUAGUAAAUAUCAUUAUUUAUUUUAAACUUAUAUUAUUUCUCAUAUAUAUAUUAAAUAAUUUUUAAACACCUCAUAAAAUAUUUGUAUUAUUUGUUUACUCCAACUUGUAAAUUAGAUAUCAUCAAAUAUUAUAUUUUUUUUAAAUUUAUAGAACAUAUAAUAAAUACUUUUUAAAUACCUCAUAAAUAUUUUUUUUUUCUAACUUGCAAAUUAGACACAUGGUGUUUAUUAUUUUUUCAAAAAUUAUGUAAACACUCACAUGCAUAUAUAUAAUAUUAAUCAAGAAGACAAUAUUUUUAAGACUAAUUUACCAACCUUCCAAUAAUUUUGAAAGUGUAAAUAGGGUAAUUGGUCGAAUUAAAGUCUUCAAAAAUAUUCAAAAUUUCUCCAUUCCAAAAUUACCUAAUUGCUCUCCACACUAAUCCUAAAUAUUUUUUAAUAAAUAUUUAAAUAUUUAAAACCAUUAAAUAAAUACUUUCUUAUUAAAGCAAUUUUUUCAAAGUAAUAUGAUAAAAAUCAUGAAAUCUUCAAAACUAUAAUUACAACAAAUAUUUUUAAUUUUAAAACUAAUUUCAUAAUUUAAAUUAAUGAUUUAAAAAAAUAAAAAUAUUAUAAAAAUAAUUUUUAUUUAUUUAUAAUUCCAUUUAAAUAUGAUUUUUUUAAUCUCUAUUGAUAACAAUGAAAUUAUGUUUAUAAAGGCAAAAUAGUAAAAAUAUAUAUUUCAUUUAGUUUACUUAUAAUGAACAAUUCUAACAUAAUUUAUUUUAAUUUUAUUUCCUAUGUGUUAAUUUUUGUAGGGAAUGUCUUAAUGACAUAGUUUGGUAAAAGAAGAAAAAAAAACUAUCAAUAGUCGUCUUAAUGUAAAAUUCAAGUUAUUUAAAAAUUGUAUAAAAUCUAUUACGAGCCUUGUACACCCUUGUACACUUAGCACAUUUCUCUUGUACAGUUAGUGUAAUACCCUUGUACAAUGACACAAAUUUCAUAUUUCUCAUAAGUUAUAUGUUCAUGUAGUAUAUUAAUAAUAUUUUCAAUGGUUUGGUUAAGAAAAUGAUGGAUGACUUAGGAUCAACUUUUUUUUUUCCCAAAUAUCAUUAUUAGGGAAAAUAUUAAAAUUUUCAUGUGAGAGUUAAAUAAAAUGCAUGACAUAGACGUACAAUCCUUGGGUGACAAGGAAAAUAAAAAAGUGGUUUAGAAUUGAUUAAAUUAUUUCACAAAGGGUAAUCUUGUACACUUUUGUAUAAUUAGUACAUUUCUCGUUAGUGUAAUACCCUUGUACAAUGACACAAAUUUUAUAUCCCUUUUAAGUUAUGUAUCCACAUAAGAGUGUUUAACUAUAUUUCCAAUGAUUUAGUUGAGAAGAUGGUAGAUGAUUUAAGGUCAAAAUUUUUUUUCUCCAAAUAUUAUUAUUAGGAAAAAUAUUGGAAUUUCCAUGCAGAAAUUAAAUAAAGUGCAUGACAUAUGUGUACAAUUCGUGAGUGAUAAAAAAAAAAAAGGAAUGACUCAUAAUCGAUUAUAAUAUUUCACAAAUGGUAGCCUUAUACAUCUUUGUACACCUAGUACAUUUCCCUUGUACAGUUAGUGUAAUACAAUUGUACAGUGAUGCAAUAAAUGAAUAAAUAAAAUUUAUUAUUUUUUUAUUUUCAUAUAAAAAAAUAGUAUUAAACAAGGUUUUCAAUUUUCAUUUUAAAAAAUACUUUUCAUUUUUUAAUUAAAAAUAUUUUCAAAAAGAGACAAUAUAGAAAAUAAAAAUUAUUUUUAAAAAUAAAAAAUAAAAACUAGAAAAAUAUUUUAAAACCAAACUCAAAUAUAAUCUAUAUAAUUUUUAACUACUUGUUUUCAUCUAAAAUAAGUAAAUAUACCUUUCAACAAUUUUAUAUAAGAAAAAUUCAAUCUCUAUUAUGUAUUGAUAUAAUCCACUUCUAAAAUUAUGUCAUAUGAAAACAUUUUAAUUGAGUACUUAAAAUAAAAACUUUCCAUCCAUCCUCUUUCUUUCUUUUUCUUUUUCUCAUUUUAAUAAAUUUUCAAUUAAUUUAAAUCAUUAAAAUAAAUUCUUAAUAAACAAAUUUGUAAUAUUUCAUAUAACUUAUUACUAAAAGUCAUGUUCAAAAAGUUAUUAAAAUAAGGAAGAAAGAAGAUUAAAAAAAAUUAAAUUUUUUAUUUUAUAAUAGUAAAAAAAAAUUUUAAAAUACUUUUUAAUAUAAAAAAAUAAAAUAGUGAAUAUAUUUAUUUUAAAUAGUAUUUUAAUCAUUAAAUUAUUUACUUCUAAAAUAUAAAAGAUAAAAAUAAAUAUAAAAUGUAAUUUUUAUUUAUUUAAAUUAAUAUUUUUUAGAAAGUAUUUUCCAAAAUAGUCUUUGAAUCAUUAAUAUAAUUUUUGUUUAUUUAUAAUUUAAAAAUAAAAAAAUAAUGUUGAUUUUUCAAUUAUUUAUAAAAGAGUUUAAAAAAAUAAUGAAAAAUCUAAAAAUGGUUAAAUAAGAAAGAAUAGUGACAUGUGAAGGGUGGUAGAAUAAAGACAAAAAUGAGUCAAAUGGGGUAUUUUUGUCUAUUCCUAUCUUAUAUCCUUGUGAUCAAUUAUGGGUGUUUGAUGGACUCUUUAUUAAUUAUCAAAACUAAAUGGGUCUAAAGCCCAAUUCUGCCUUUUAUCAUUUAGUGAAGAAAAUUUAAAAUGAUAUAAAUUUAAUCAUAUGUAGAUCUCAGUUGUUAAUGAAUGCACAAUUGAUAAUCUUCCAUAUAGGGAGUUAAGUUAAUAAUAAAAUGAACAAUAUAAUUAACAAUCAACAAAGCUAUUAAAAUUGUUUUAUUAAGGUCAAUAGUAAUAGUACCAUUGGGAAUUUGAUGGUCCAAUUUGAGCUUGGACUCCUAAAAAGUCUAUUUUAUUAUAGUAAGUACUAGAAUUAUUCCUCAUUAUAUUAAUUUAAUUAAUCUAUUCUUAAAUUUAGAUUGAGUUAGUAAAUUUCCCAUUUACUUAAAAUUAUUAACUUCAAAACUUGAUUCUAAAAAUAUACCAAUUUGAUUUCAUUAAACCAAGAGUUUAUUUUAUUUAUUAAUUUAAAACUAAACAUUUUAUCAUACCAUCUCAUUACUCUUUUCUUUUCUUUUUUCUUUUUAAUAAAUACUCAUUGAUAGCAUCAAAUCCAACAUUUAAACAUCACUGUAACUUUCUUUUAUUAUUUUAUAAGAAAAUUUAUUCUCUUUUUAUCAUUUAAUGAAAAAAGUUUAAAAUGACAUAAAUUUAAUCAUAUGCAAAAUUUGAUUGUUAAUGAAUGCACAAUUGAUUAUGGAGUUAAGUUAAUAAUAAAAUAAAUAAUAUAAUUAACAAUCAAUAAAGCUAUUAAAAUUGUUUUAUUAAGGUCAAUAGUAAUAGUACCAUUGAGAAUUUGAUGGUCUAAUUUGAGCUUGGACACCUAAAAGUCUAUUUUAUUAUAGUAAGUACUAGAAUUUGUUCAAUUGGGUCUAAGGUUGGAAAGAGAAAUGUCCAAGAUGAUCAUUAAUUUUGUAACAUACAUAGUUAAGUAAUAAUUAAUAGGAAAUGACUUUUUCAAGACCUAUUAAAUUAAAAUUAAAAUUCAAAAAAAAAAAAAAGUUGGGUGAAUAAACAAAAUAAUAAUUUAAAAAAAAACUUUUAUUAAAAAAAAUGAGGAGUUCACGUGCUUUCAAAAACUGAAAUUCCAUGUAAUAAAAAUGCUUUUAACUUCAAAAUUUUAAUCUAUUGUUUUUUUAAAGGGAAAAUUUUCCUAUUUAUAUAAGAAUUUUUAGUAAUUUUUUAGUUUAAUUAUGUAGGACAUGGACCUUAAGCAAACUUUUCGGGUCAUAUUAUUUUAUUAUUUUUCCCCGUUAUGUUUUCUUUUCAAAUAGGAGUUGACAUAAAUACCCUUCUCUACAUACACUAUGAAGUGAUCAGACUGCCCUCAAUUGUCAUCAAAAUUUCAUGUAUUUACCUCUUGUCAUGUAGUGUCCAAUUCUUCACAUCCUCAUAUGUGACAUUCGACAACCAUGUGGUGCUUGUAAUAUAUUCCCAAUAAUUCUUUAUAUCUCUAUGCAUGAUAUUUGAUAACUUCAAAGUGUGACAUGUGACACUUCUAGUGCAUCCCUAAAUUUAUACUUAUAGUUUAGUUAAUGUAAUUCUUUUCUAGCCCAUUUGCAUAGUGUUGAGAUUAUUCAACUUUUCUAAUUAUUUUAAAUUAUUAGGAAUUUAAUUAUUUUACUAAUGUUUUACUUUCUCUAAUUAUUUUUAAUCUAAUUGGAUUUUUUAUUGUUUUAUUUAUUUUACUAAGGUUUUACUUUCUCUAAUUAUUUUAAAUUAAAUUGGAUUUUUAAUUAUUUAAUUUAUUUAUUUUCAAAAAUUGAAAAAAAAAUUCUUAUCUAAAAAUCCAAGAUGUUAAUCAAUGUAGCGAAAAAAAAAGUAAAAGAAAUUUUAUAUAAUUCCAAAUAACAUAUAAUUUUAAUUUGUUUUUUUUUUCACGAAAUCAAUACUAAUUCCCCUAACCUCAAAGAAACACACAAAUUUUAAGAAAAAAUUACUGUUAAAAGACUUAAUCCUCACCUAACAUAAUAUAUAUAUAACCAUUACUACUAAUUAUUAGUUAAAAUUAUAAUUUGAUAUUCCUAAAAAUUGGAUAUAUCAUUAUUAUUAUUAUUAUUAUUAUUCCUCAUUAUAUUAAUUUAAUUAAUCUAUUCUUAAAUUUAGAUUGAGUUAGUAAAUUUCCCAUUUACUUAAAAUUAUUAACUUCAAAACUUGAUUCUAAAAAUAUACCAAUUUGAUUUCAUUAAACCAAGAGUUUAUUUUAUUUAUUAAUUUAAAACUAAACAUUUUAUCAUACCAUCUCAUUACUCUUUUCUUUUCUUUUAUCUUUUUAAUAAAUACUCAUUGAUAGCAUCAAAUCCAACAAUUAAACAUCACUAUAACUUUCUUUUAUUAUUUUAUAAGAAAGUUUAUUCUCUUUUUAUUAUUUAAUGAAGAAAGUUUAAAAGGAUAUAAAUUUAAUUAUAUGCAAAUUUCGAUUGUUAAUGAAUGCACAAUUGAUUAUCUUCGUGUAAGGAGUUAAAAUAAAUAAUAUAAUUAAUAAUUAACAAAACUAUUAAAAUUGUUUUAUUAAGGUGAUAUUAAUAGUACAAUUGGGAAUUUUAAGAUCCAAUUUGAACUUGGACUCCUAAAAGUCUAUUUUAUUAUAAUAAGUACUAGAAUUUGUUCACUAGGGUCACUAUUAACGUUGGAAAGAGAAAUGUCCAAGAUGGUCAUUAAUUGUGUAACAUACAUAAUAAUAUAAUAAUUAAUAGGGAAUGACUCUUUCAAGACCUAUUAAAUUAAAAAAAAAAUCAAAAAAUCAAAAAAAAAAAAACAAAUUAAAUAAUAACUUUGAAUAAACAAAAUAAUAAUUUUUAUAUAAAUAUAAAAAAAAAGUUAUUAAAAAAAAAUGAGGAUGUCAGUUGCUUUCAAAAACUGAAAUUCCAUGUAAUAAAAAGCUUUUAACUUGAAAUUUUUAACCUAUUUUUUGUUUGGUUGUAAAUUUUUCCUAUUUAUAUAAGAAUUUUUUAGUUUAAUUUUGUAGAACAUUAACCUUAAGCCAACUCUUUGGUUCACAUUAUGAAGUGACAUAAAUACCCUUUCAAAUAGGAGUUGACAUAAAUACCCUUCCCUACAUUAUGAAGUGAUCAAACUACCCUUAAUUGUCAUCAAAAUUUUAGGUAUUUACCUCUUGUCAUGUAGUGUCCAAUUUUUCAUAUCCUCACAUGUGACAUUCGGCGACCAUGUGGUGCUUCUAAUAUAUUCCCACUAUUCUUUAUAUCUCUAUGCAUGACAUUUGACUACUCCAAAGUGUGACAUGUGAGCUUCUAGUAUAUCCCUAAAUUAAUACUUAUAGUUUAGUUGAUGUAAUUAUUUUCUAGUCCAUUUGCAUAGUUUUGAGGUUAUUCAACUUUUCAAUUAUUUUAAAUUAUGGGGAAUUUAAUUAUUUUACUAAUGUUUUACUUUCUCUAAUUAUUUAAAUUUAAUUGGAUUUUUAACUAUUUUAUUUGUUUUACUAAGGUUUUACUUUCUCUAAUUAUUUAUAAUUUAAUUGAAAUUUUAAUUAUUUAAUUUAUUUAUUUUCAAAAUUAAAAAAAAAAAUCUUAUCUAAAAAUCCAAGAUGCACAAUCAAUGUAGAGAAAAAAAAAAGUAAAAGAAAUUUUAUAUAAUUCCAAAUAACAUAUAAUUUUUUUUCAUGAAAAUCAAUACUAAUUCCCCUGCACAAAUUUUUUUAAAAAAUUAUUGUUAAAGAACUUAAUCAUCACCUAACAUAAUAUAAUAAAAAAAAUAACCAUUACUAUUAAUUAUUUAGCUAAAAUUAUAAUUUGAUAUUCCUAAAAAUUGUAUAUAUCAUUAUUAUUAUUAUAUUAAUUUAAUUAAUCUAUUCUUAAAUUUAGGUUGAGUUGGUAAAUGUCCCAUUCGUGUUUAGGUUUAAGUCCACCUGUUGAUCUUCCUUCAGCAUCAAGUAUUAAUGGUGGGCUUCAACCAUAUUCAAUUGAGUCUCAUACCCUUUGAGUUGACAACCCUUUCUUUGGCUUAAAUCAAAGAUUGGUGUCUAUGUUAGGAGCACCAUCUUGUGGGGGCGUAAUAGUGCAGAAUCUCAUCCCUAUAAUCUUAUAGAUUCACAUCCCGAUAUUAAAGCCUCACCAACUCAAUCAAGAUCUCCAAAUGGAUGAAAUUCUACAAUAAUCAAUGACCAAUUACUCGGGUAAACUAUAAAUCAUUUAGCCAUAAGUUAUGACAUCAUUUUUAUAGCUUUCUGUACAUAAUAUUCAUGUUUUGUAUUUAUAUAGUGUAUUGACUAUAAAUGAAUACAAGCUUUCACAUUAGUAUUAUGUAUUUAUUAUUUUUUUUGUUAACCCCAAAUGUAUAAUUUUAUUAUAAGUGUAUAAUAUUCAUACUCUGUAUUUAUAUAGUGUAUUGAUUGUAAAUGAAUUCAAGCUUUCUCAUCAAUAAUAUUUUUUUCUAUUAGCCCCAAAUGUAUAAUUUUGUUGUUUGUUUUAUAUGAAAAUGGUAGAAAUCUAGAACCACUCACUCUUGCCUCGAUCUUCAACAAAGGCCAACAACAAAUUAUACAAAAGCGACGAGUACCAGCUAUAACAACAUUUAUAUUAAUAUAAAAAACUUUUAUUAAAAAAAAAUGAGGACCUCACAUGAUUUCAAAAUAUGAAAUUCCAAGUAAUGAAAAGAUAAUUUUUUCUUAUUUAUAUAAGAAUUUUUGGUAAUUUUUUAGUUUAAUUUUGUGGAACAUGAAGCUUGAACAAACUCUUCAAGUCACAUUAUUUUAUUAUGUUUCCUUUUUUAUGUUUCUUUUUCAAAUAUUAAUUAAUGUAAAUAUCCUUCUAUACAUUAUGAAGUGAUCGAACUAAUGAAUUUUCGUUUGCAGCAUCAAAUUCUCCACUAGGAUUCAAACAUCACUAAAAUACUUAAUGUCAUCACAUGUUUUUCAACACCUCCAUCAUACACUAUAACACCCCAAAUUAAUUUUUAAGGUUAGAAACGCAAAUUAGAAAUACAAAAAAUAAGUAAAUAAAUAAAUAGUUUUAAUAAGAGUAGAAAGUUCUUUUUGUAUUUAAAAACCCUAUAAAUUAUAUUUUUCUUGUCAUCUCUUUACAUAAACCCUUUGUGCAUAGAGAUCAGAGAAAUUAGGGAACGUAGGGUUGAAGAUUUAGGGAUUUAGGGUUUGAAUAUUAGUUUUUUGGAUAAGAUUUUUAACCUUGAGAUUAGCAUUUUAUAUUAAUUAAUUAAUUAAUUUUGAAUAUUUUUUUAAAAAAAUUGAAAAAUAUCAAUAUAGAUUAGGGUUUCUUAUUUAAUUUUUUUUUUUUAGAUAAAAAAGAUUGGGAAUUUAUGAACAUAGGUAGAUUUAUUGAUGAAGAAUAACAUGUCCCUAAUUUAGUACCAUAAGAAAGUCAACUAUGAAGGACAUAUUGUUCUCUAUCACAAGUAAGUUAUUCACAUAGACAAGAAAGUAAAUGGUGACAUUGUUGCAAUUGUAAAUAAAAAAAGAGGGAUUUUCUUAGUGAGACAUGAGAGACUUGCACUAUUUUCAUGGCAUAGAAGCUCUCUCCAUGCCUCAAGGGUUACUACUCACUCAUCAUAGAUAUAUAUGGGAUCUUCUCACUUGCACCAAACUAGAUGGUGCCAAGGAGGUUAUUAUACAACUCUCUACCCCUACCUCCUUUACUCUUCAUGAUAGCUUGCCCAUUUCAUGCACUAUCCAACUGAGAUCCACUGGUCAACAAGUAAGUGUCUAUGUCGCUAUCUUAAGCACACUAUCCAUCAUGGUCUUCUCCUUAAGUGUCAUCAACCUUUGGCUCUAACGACCUUCUUUUAUGUUGACUAGGUUGGCAAGAGGGAUGACAGGACCUUUACUACUACAUAUAUUGUCUACCUUGGUGGUAAAGUUAUCUCUUGGUGCUAUCGCAAGAAAAAGUAUGUUGCUCAAUCUUCCAUAGAGUAUUAAUAUCAUGUCCUUGUUUGCACAGUUGUAGAAUUCAUUUGGCUCAAAUCUCUUUUGGGUGAACUUAGCCUUCAACUCUCUAAGACACCUAUUAUAAAUUGUGACAACUUUGGUGUUACCUACCUUUCUAUCAAUUCUAUUUUUCACUAAAAAAUGAAGCACAUUGCUAUCAACUUUCACUUUAUACGUGAUCAUGUUAUCAGUGGGAAUCUCAUCGUAUCAUAUAUAUCUACUAAAGAUCUACUUACAGAUGUUUUGACUAAGUCUUUGAGUUGACAACUCUCUCUUUAGCUUUGAGCAAAGAUUGGUGUCUUUUAUGGGAGCACCAUCUUGCAGUGGCAUAAUAGUGCAAAAUCCCAUCCUUACGAUCUUACAUAUUCACAUCCCAAUAUUCAAGCCUCACUAGGCUCAAUCAAAAUCUCUAAAUGGAUGAAAUUUUGCAAUAAUCAAUGACUAAUUACAUGGGUCAAUUAUAAAUCAUUUCGGCAUAAUUUAUGGUAUCAUUUUUGUAAUUUUUUGUGCAUAAUAUUCUUACUAUGUAUUUAUAUAUAUAGUGUAUUGACUAUAAAUGAAUACAAGCUUUCUAAUAAGUAUUGUUUGUUUUAUAUGAAAAUGACAGAAAUCUAGAACCACUCACUCUUGCCUCAAUCUUCAACAAAGGCCACGACAAAAGUAAAAGAAAAUCGAUUGAACCAGCUAAGCCAUGAAAUCAGUUUCUCGACCUCCAAGACUGUUGACGCGUGUUAUGAAGAGUCGUUGCAGUGACUGCUAGUUAGUGAUGAAACAAACUGAGCUUGUCUUCGUCUCAUUUCCGAUCAUUGGCCACAUUUCGCCUACAGUGGAGAUUGCAAAGCUGCUUACUCAGUGAGACCCCCGAUUCUCAAUCACGAUCUUCAUCAUGAAGUUUUCGUUUGGAUCCAUUGAUAGUAUGACCACGGACUCUGAUUCCAUACGUUUCAUCACACUUCCUCCUGUAGAGAUCAGCUCCGGAGCAACGCCGUAUGUUCCCUUCAUCUCUGAAUUCCUCAAAGCUCAGAUACUACUCGUCAGAGACGCAGUCCACUAGGUCACUCGCUCCAACUCGGUUUGGCUCGUUGGGUUCGUUGUUGACAUGCUCUGCACCACAUGAUUGGAAAGGUGAUUAUAUGGGCUCCACAAGUAGGAUUUUAGCCCACUCAGCUGUUGGAGGAUUUGUUUCUCAUUGUGGAUGGAAUUCUCUCCUAGAAAGCAUAUGGUAUGGUGUUCAUGUAGCCACAUGACCAAUGUAUGUGGGAAGAACAAAUCAACGCAUUUCAAAUGGUGAAUGGUUUAAGGUUGACAAUAGAAAUUAAAAUAUGUAAUAAGGAUAACAUUUAUAUUCUAAGUCUUCAUGAGAUUGAAAAUGGAUUAAAGAAUUUAAUGAGCAUUAAUAGUCAAGUGAGGAAGAAAAUGAAUGAGAUGCAACACAUAAGUAGAAGAGUUAUGAUAGAUGGUGGAUCCUCGCACUCUUCUUUAGGUCAUUUAUUGAAAACAUGAUGACCAAUAUUUCAUAACCUAAUGUAUCGGAUUGUUACUUUAUCAUAUGCUUUAUUUCAAUGUUGAUGUAAUUUCUUUGAUUUCAAAAUUUAUAAAAAAGUUUGUUCUCUUUUUAUCAUUUAAUGAAGAAAGUUUAAAAGGACAUAAAUUUAAUCAUAUGCAGAUCUCGAUUGUUAACAAAUGCAUAAUUGAUUAUCUUAGUGUAGGGAGUUAAAAUAAAUAAUAAAGUAAACAAUAUUAUUAAUAAUCAACAAAGCUAUUAAAAUUGUUUUAUUAAGGUGAUAGUAAUAAUACCAUUGGGAAUUUGACGAUCCAAUUUGAGUUUGUACUCCUAAAAGUCUAUUUUAUUAUAGUGAGUACUAGAAUUUGUUCACUUGGGUCACUAUUAAUGUUGGAAAGAGGAAUGUCCAAGAUGGUCAUUAAUUUUCUAAUAUACAUAAUUAAAUAAUAAUUAAUAGGGAAUGACUCUUUCAAGACCUAUUAAAUAAAAAUAAAAAUAAAAAAAUUCAAAAAAAUUAUGUGAAUAAACAAAUUAAAUAAUAACUUGGAAUAAAUUAACAAAAUAAUAGCUUUUAUAUAAACAUAAAAAAAAUAUUUUUAAAAAAUAAGGACGUGCUUUCAAAAACUGAAAUUCCAUGUAAUAAAAAAGCUUUUAACUUGAAAAUUUUAACCUAUUUUUUGUUUUGAUGGUAAAUUUUUUCUAUUUAUAUAAGAAUUUUUUAGUUUAAUUUUGUAGAACAUUAACCAUAAGCAAACUCUUCGGUUCAUAUUAUUUUAUUAUUUUUUCCUUUUUAUGUUUCCUUUUCAAAUAGGUGUUGACAUAAAUACCCUUUCCUACAUCCAACUACCCUUUAUUGUCAUGUAGUGUCCAAUUUUUCAUAUCCUCACAUGUGACAUUCGGCGACCAUGUGGUGCUUCUAAAAUAUUCCCAAUUAUACUACUCCAAAGUGUGACAUGUGACACUUCUAGUAUAUCCCUAAAUUAAUACUUAUAGUUUAGUUAAUAUAAUUCUUUUCUAGUCCAUUUGCAUAGUUUUGAGGUUAUUCAACUUUUUGAUUAUUUUAAAUUAUUGGAAACUUAAUUAUUUUACUAAUGUUUUACUUUUUCUAAUUAUUUUAAAUUUAAUUGGAUUUUUAAUUGUUUUAUUUGUUUUACUAAUGUUUUACUUUCUCUAAUUAUUUAUAAUGUAAUUGAAUUUUUAAUUAUUUAAUUUAUUUAUUUUCAAAAAUCGAAAAAAAUUCUUAUCUAAAAAUCCAAGAUGUUACACAAUCAAUGUAGAGGAAAAAAUGGAAAAGAAAUUUUAUAUAUUUCCAAAUAACAUAUCAUUUUUUUUUCACGAAAAUCAAUACUAAUUCCCCUAACCUCAAAGAAACACACAAUUUUUUUGAAAAAUUUAUUGUUAAAGAACUUAAUCAUCAUCUAACAUAAUAUAAAAAAUAAAUAAAUAACCAUUACUAUUAAUUAUUUAACUAAAAUUAUAAUUUGAUAUUCCUGAAAAUUGUAUAUAUCAUUAUUAUUAUUAUUAUUAUUCCUCAUUAUAUUAAUUCAAUUAAUCUAUUCUUAAAAUUAGGUUGAGUUAGUAAAUUUCCCAUUUACCUAAAAUUACUAACUUCAAAACUUGAUUUUAUAAAUAUACCAAUUUGAUUUUAUUAAACCAAGAUUUUAUUUUAUUUAUUAAUUUAAAACUAAACAUUUUAUUAUACUUGUAGGGACCCCUCCUCCUGAGAACACGUGCCACGCACCUCAUGGUGACACGUGGCACGCAUUACCAUCCGGAUCACCCCCAUCCGGAUACACGUGACGCGCCUCUCAUAUCCGGACCGCCUCAAGGAAGUUCAAACGACACUUAUAAACAUAAGACAUCCGGACGACUUCCACCUCAUAUCCGAACCGCCUCAAGGAAGUUCAAACGACACUUGUAAGCAUAAGACAUCCGGACGACUUCCACCUCAUAUCCGGACCGCCUCAAGGAAGUUCAAACGACACUUGUAAGCAUAGAACAUCCGGACGGCUUCCACAAAUACAUCCGGAUGACCAGCUGUGGACCCUGCAUUUCGACUCAUGCGUUUCCCACUCGAUGGCGAGCUCGAUUUUUAUUUGAAAAAUUGAUUUUAUAUUGAUCAAGAAAAAUGACUCGGAGUCGCCACUUAUUUUUGUUUUAUUUUUAAAGGGUAAACAAAAUAAGAAAGAAAAACCCUAAGUGUGACUCCUUGUUUUGGAAAAUGUGGUCUGUGAAAAACCGAAUCGGGUUCGGGGGUCAGGUUACUUAUCGGGAAGGUACGGUAGAGACCGUAACACCCCUCUAAGUCCCUAAAAAAACGGGUCUCUACUAAUAAAAUGAAGCAAUCAAUGGCAAUUGAUGAGGGAAUCAAUGAACACUCAGAGUGAUCAUGCACAUGUGGGAAUCUAAACAUGCAUACAGAAAAAUGACCCGAACGGGUGUGGAUGCGUACCUGGGCAAUGAUCCAUAAAGCGCUAUCAAGAAGUGAGGUUAGCGCACAAUUAAGGAAUAAUUUCGAGCAUGUCAUAGAGCAAAAUAAAAUCGAUCAUGCAUGACAAUUAAAUCAAACAAACAAUCAAUCAAUCAUAAGGAGGUCACAUAUGUUGGGCCCCCACCAAAACCCGAUUUAUAUUGCAUGAAUUAAUCUCACGAAUCCCAUUAUUUCGGAAUUAUGAAGAUUCGUUCUUGCUUAUUAAAGUCCAGAGGAGCAGAAGAUUGUUUGAAAGCCAGAGCGGAAUUAAAACUAUUCGGGAGAAAAUUAGAUUUUUGAAAUUUAAUUGAAAAGUUGGAAUCUCGAAGAUCACUAGAAAAUUGGAGUUUUAGAAUUUAUUUGGAGAUUAGACUUUUAGAGAUUGAAUGUGAGAAUGAGAAUUUUUAGAAACUGAAUUUGAAAGAGGUUGGAAUUUUAAAAACGAAAGUUGAUGUGUAAAAAUUGGAAAUCCUAGAAAUCAUUCGAAGGCGGAAUUUAUAGAAAUAAUGAAUAAGAUGAUAAUGAUAAUGAUAAUAAUAAGUAGCGGGAUAAAUAUGGGAAUUGGAGCAUGGGAAACUGACAAUUAAGUUCGGAGAUUGGACAAUUGAAGUUUCAAAUAGCUAAAUUUAGAAAUUGGAAUUUUGAAGAAUUAGACCUUAAUGAUUGAGAUUUUUAAGAGAAAUAAAUGGGUAAAUAUGGAAUAAUGUUGUUAAUUAAUCAAAACGAUAUUUGGACGGAUGAAUAGUGAAUAGUGGGAUUUUGAAAAUUAAGUUUGAAAGUCGGAUCUUUGAAUAAUUGGACUCUAAUUAUUGGAAUUUUUAGAAGAAAGAAAUAAGUAAACGUGGAAUUUAUAACAAUGAUAACAAAGAUGAUAUUUGAAUGAAUAAAAGAGAAUGGUGGAAUUUUUUUAGUCUCAAGGUUAAAUUUGGAGGUCCGGUUUUGAAGAAUUGAAUUUUAAUGAUCGAAAUAAAUAAGUAAAUAAGUAUGGAGUAAUGAUACUAAUGAACAAAAAUAAUGUUUAAACGAAUAAAAAAGAGGAUAGUGGAAUUUUUCUAAUUGAGAAUUUGAAUUAGGGCGUUGGAUUUUUAAGGGAUAUGACUUUGACUAAAUAGGUAGGUAUGUGAUUAUAAUACUAAUUAACGAGAAUAACAUUUCGGUGAAUAAAGAUGAAUAGUAGAAUUUUUGGGAUUGAAGUUUUAAUUAAGGCAUGGGGUUUUCGGAAGAUUAGACUUUGAAUAGAUAUGAAAAUAAUGAUUCUAAUUGAUGAGGAUAAAAUUUAGAUGAACAGUAGAAUUUAUAGGAUUGAAAAAUUGAAUUAAGACAAGAGAUUUUUGAAGAACUAGGUUUUAAAUAAAUAGACAAAUACGUUAUAAUAACCCUAAUUGAUGGAAAUAAGAUUUAAACGAAUUACUUAGAAACUAAAUUAAGACAGGGGAUUUUUGAAAGGAUUAGAUUUUAAAUAACUAAAUAAAUGUGGGAUAAUAAUUCGAUUUAUGAAAAUAUGAUUUAAACAAGUAUUUGAAGAAUUAAAUUAAAAACAUGGGAUUCUUGAAGGAUUGGUAUAAAUAAAAUAGGUGAAUGGAUAGGGUAAUAAUUCUCAUUGAUGAACAUAAGGUUUAAACGAGCAUUUAAAGAAUUAAAGUAGGACAUGGGAUUUUCUUAAUGGAUUUAGAAUUCGAACAAUUAAUAAUACGGGAUGAUGAUUUGAUUUAUGAAAAUGAGAUUUAAACAAGUAUUUGAAGAAUUAAAUUAAAGCAUGAGAUUUUUUGAAGGAUCGGUAUAAAUAAAAUAGGAGAAUAUAAGAUAAUAAUUCUAGUUGAAUAAAUAUGAGAUUUAAAAGAGCAUUUGAAGAAUUAAAUUAUGACAUGGGAUUUUCUUAAUGGAUUAGAAUUCGAAUAACUAAUAAUACGGGAUGAUGAUUUGAUUUUAUGAAAAUGAGAUUUAAACAAGUAUUUGAAGAAUUAAAUUAAAGCAUGAGAUUUUUGAAGGAUUGGUAUAAGUAAAAUAGGAGAAUAUAAGAUAAUAAUUCUAGUUGAUAAAUAUGAGAUUUAAAAGAGCAUUUGAAGAAUUAAAUUAAAACAUGUGAUUUUGAUUUAUAGAUUGGACUUUGAAUAAAUAAUAAAUAAGGGAUAAUAAUGUGAUUUAUAAAAAUAUGAUUUAAACAAAGAUUUUGAAGUAUUAAAUUGAACUUAGGAUUUUUUUCUUUUGAACCUAUCAUCCACACAAACUGGGCCUGGGCUCCAACUCAAGCCCAAGUCCAAUGUCUUCAUUGGGCAAGCCUAAUACAAUAAUCCAUCACCAACUUGGGCCUAGUGCCCCAAUCCAAGCCCAAGUCCAAAGGUGUCAAUGGGCAAGCCCAAGGCAAUUAAAGCCUUCACAAACUUGGGCUUCUCUUUUGGGCCCAACCCACUAAAAUCCAAAUCCAUACUCAUUUUCUCUUUGGGCCCUUCAGCCACGCUCUUCUUCUUCACCUUAGGAAGACUAUGACGGAGAAAGCGGAGGUGAGAGAGGCGUCGCCGGAGGUCCUCGGAGUUGGUCCAAGCUGCCAACUUUCCAUCCCGCCGCCUCGAUUACCGCCACCCAUGCCACGUUCGCCGUCGUGUUCCAACGUCGGCGUCCAGGAGUGGAGCCAGCAGCUACGGCCUGGUGUCGGCGUCCGAGAGUAGAGCCAGCAGCCGCGGCCUGGUGUCGGCGUCCGAGGACGCUUUCUCGGUCGAACCUGGCCGUCUGGGGGAGAGUUUGUCGCGUGCGUCGCCGACAAUGCUGCUGCCACCGAGUUCCUAUAGUGGGCGGGCUGGGUAGAGUGGCUUCAAAGGGCGGUGACGAUGAGGGGAGAGUUGAUAGCGGCACCUUCACGCAGAACGCGAGGUGCAUGGGACUCGCCGGAGCACCGCAAAAGAGCCUCAUGCUCCCGGAACUGCAUCCGAGGCUCUCCAUUUGCUGGGAUUUUGGAGUUUUGGCGCUAGGCUCGAAAUGGGGUUGGAGUUUUGAGCAUCUCCGGCUGCUGUCCUAGUAGACGUUUUCUUCUGGUGUUUUGAGGGGUGAGAAAAAUGAGAGGAAAAUGAGGAGGAAAAAUGGAGGGUAGGAGUGGAUGAAGGACAUGAGGAUACAGAGAAAGAAUGGGUUUUAGGCGGUAUGUUUAGAUGGACACAUGCAUGAGGGUGCGGGUAGAGAGAGAUAGAGAUAUCCAUGCAUGCUCCAAGCUCCACGUACAGGGAAGGACAGAGAAUAUAUGUAUGAUUCUGAUGCUCUCAUAUGCAUAAAUAUCCUCAAGUGAAAAUCAUAAAAAGAACGAGAGAGUAGCAGAAAAGUUGCAUCCAAACAGUGAAUAAAAGCUAAAGACAUCAAGGAAAAUGCAUGAAGAACAAUGCAACAAAAAAAUACAAACAGAAGAUCCAUAAUAUUCGCACCUGGAAGAGCUCUCUCCUAGCGGGAACCAAUCAGAAAAAAAAUGCUUGAGUCCCUCCUUUCUUCCUCUGCUCUACCCUACUCCAAGCUACCGUCCCUCUUUUUCCCUCUUUCUUUUCUUUUCUCUGCUGGCCAGCCUCUCCUUUUCCUGCCCUAGGCAACCCACAUCAGUCUUAUGUCCCAUCUUGCCGCCACCACCAGCCUCAUUUCCGGGACGUCAGAAGCAUAAAUCAAUAAAAGCAAUAUCACCCCAAAGAAUGCUACUGUUCGGGGGGUCUACACCAGCAUAAACCAUCCGAAUAUAAUUGUCCGGGUCAUUGACUGAAGUAAGCAAGUCUUACACGUUAUCACAACAGCCUGCCAUGACCCGCGUUUCGCCACCUGUAGAGUGAAGGGACAAGAUGAAGUGACAACAAGUCACUUCCCACGAUCAUUUCACAUGAUCACUUACCACGAUUUCUGACAGCCGCAUCACCUACCACGAUCCCUGUCAAACUGCCCGUAGGGUGAUGAUGGCCCUGCCACCACCUAGUGUCAUCAUGACAACACAAAAUAUCUCCCCACCAUUAAAGAAGAACAAAAGCUUCUGAUACUAUAUAUAUCAACCUUCACACAAAGAGGAAGGUAAGCUUGCGAUACCUAGUAAAAGGCCAACUGAUUUAUCUCUCUCUCUCUAACCAUGGCUGACAAAACCAUCGGAGGGUGCGUCCGGACACCCCGUCCUGACGUCUUUUGCAGGUGGAACGACUGAAUCAAGAACCUAUAUUGGUUAAGAUCGUGCGUCCAUCCAUUUGGCAACUACGUGGAUCACCAGGGACGCGAGGCCUCAACAAUACCAUCUCAUUACUCUUUUUUUUUUUUUAAUAAAUCCUCAUUGAUAGCAUUAAAUUCCUCACCAACAUUUAAACAUCACUAUAACUUUCUUUUAUUAUUUUAUCAUACCAUCCCAUUACUCCUAUAUCUUGUUGGAAUGGAUCUUCAUUUGCAGCAUCAAAUUCUCCACUAGCAUUCAAACGUCACUGCCACACCUAUGGUCAUCGCACGUUUUCCAACACCUACAUCAUACACUGUAACAGCUCGAAUUAAUUUCCAAGGUUUGAAUCGUAAAUUAGAAAUACAAAAAAAAAAUUAAAUAAUUUUAAUAAGAGUAGAAACGUUUUUUGUAUUUAAAAACCCUAUAAAUUAUAUUUCUCUUCUCUUCUCUUUACAUAAACCCUUUUGUACAGAGAUUAGGGGAAUUAGAGAACGGAGGGUUGAAGAUCAAUUUUUUAAAUAAGAUUAUUAAUCUUGAAAUUAGUAUUUUAUAUUUAUUAAUUAGUUUUGAACAUUUAAAAAAAAAUUUAAAACAUCUUAAUAUAGAUUAGAGUUUGUUAUUUAAUUUUUAUUUAAAUAAAAGAAAAAUUGAAAUUUAUGAACAUAGGUAGAUUUAUUAAUGGAAAACAACAUGUCUCUAAUUUAGUACCUUAAGAAAGUUAGCUAUGAAGGACAUGUUGUUCCCUAUCACAAGUAAGUCAUCCAUAGGGAUGGCAAUGGGGUGGAUUUUUUCGGGUACUCGUCCCGCCCCGUCCCUCCCUUAAUGGGAUGAGGUUUAAUUUUAAUAAACGGGUUUAGGACGGGUUUGAGAAUUUUUUUUAAAACUCGAGACAGGUUGGAGACAGGUUCAGGACGGGUUCGGGUAUUGCCCAACCCCACCCCGCCCUACCCCAAUUAUAUAUAAAGUUUUAAAAUUUAAUUUAAUUUAAAAUUUAAAAUUAAUUUAAUUUAAUUUUUAUUUUACUAUUUUAAAUAUAUAGACAAUAAUAAAAUAUUUUUAAUAAAAUAAGUUAUAAAAAAUAUAAUAAUUUAAUUAUUUUAAUGUAAUUAAAAAUUUAAAAGUAAUUCAAAAAAAAAGUUAAACGGGGCAAGACGGGUAUGAGAAUUUAUCAUACCCGCCCCGCCCCGCCUUGUUUAAUUUUUUAAAUGGGACGGGGAUGGGAAUUGUUUCGAAUAAACGGGACGGGGUUGGGAUGGGGGUGACCUGUCCCGAACCCACCAUGUUGCCAUCCCUAGUCAUCCAUAUAGACAAGAAAGUAAAUAUGACAUUAUUAUUGCAAUUGUAAAUAAAAAGAGAUGGAUUUUCUCAAUGAAAGACAAGAGAGACUUGCAUUAUUUUUUUGGCAUCGAAGCUGUCUCCAUGCCUCAAGGGUUACUACUCAUCAUAGAUAUAUACGGGUGUAGAUCCUAAAAUUUGUCAUAAUUUUAUUUUUGCAUUAAUUUUGACCCUAAUUUUAUUCUUAAAUUUUAAAUCUCAAUUACAUAUGAUAUUUUUUACUCACUCACUAUUUAAUUUUUAUUAUUUUAUAUAUUGUUUUAUUUUAUUUUAUUAUUACUAUUAUUUUUUUCAUUUUUUUUUCUUCAUUUUCUCUCUCCUCUCUCCUCCCCCUACUCCCCAUUCCCCGCCCAUACCCCCCUCUCUCACUCACUUCCAAAUUCUCUCUCCUCUCACUUUCCUUUUUCUUUUGGAUUUUUGCUUCCUAGAAAAAAAGGGCCGAGCAUAUUAUUUUUUUGUUUUUUUUUUCUGUCUCACUUUCUCUUCUGCCAGCCGACACACGACCUGUGGCCGGUCCCAUUUUUUUCUUCCAUCUUUUUUCUCAGCCCCAACACCACUCUCCACUGCCACAUGACCACACUCCCUCCCUGAUAUUGAAAAAAUUGGAUACAAUGGAGAAAAGAAACACUCUCAAACACUCACUUUGAUACAAUAAAACUCUCAAAGUUACAAAAUAAGAACAAGAAAAAGAAGAACACAAGAAAGGCUCAAACAAAUUCUUGGAACUUUGUCCAAAGACUCUAUUUCCUCCCACCUCUAUAAAUCUUUAGGGAACUAAUGGAAAUAGUCUUGGGAUUGAUCAAGCCUUUUCACUUUUCUGCAUAAGAUUUCAAAAAGAAGAAAAGUCAUAUAAAACACUCUUAGGGUUGAAAAUGGUUACAAGGAUGAGAAAAAACUCAUUGUCUUCCUCAAUCUCUUCAUCUUUGUAACAUUCAAAAAAUUAAAUCAUAUGUUUAAUUCACACAUUAAACAUGAUUUAAUCUCAAAUGUGUAACUCUCUUACACUUAACUUCUUAAGUUUUAUAAAGUUACAAAGAUAAGAAGACUCAUUGUCUUCCUUAACCUUUCAAGUUUUGUAACAUUUCAAAACUUAAUCAUGUGUUUAAUUCACACAUUAAAAGUGUAACCCUUCUUACACUUUAUUUUCAAAAGUUAUUUUUUAAAAGUGUAACUCUUCUUACACUUUACUUUUUAACCAACUAUAUAUAUAUAUAUUUAUAUAAAUAUAACAAUCCCCCACUUGGUUAAAAAUAAACAUCAACCCUUAUAACCUCAACAGUGAAAAUGCAUAAAAUAUCUUUCAAUUUGAAUUUUACCUUAGUGUAAUUGUCACAAAGCUCCGUUGAAAUCCUAGGUUGCUUGUAGCAUUGAACCAGUUAUUCCUUGUAACGAAACCGGUAACAACACACACACUUCCACUAACCACACGAGUGCGUAUUAUUUUCUUGCUUAGCACUUUUAUGGCCAUGUGCUCAAUCCAUUCAUGAACUUUCUUGAAAGAAACUCCAACUCUCAUGAGAGGCGGCACCACCCCUAAGUUCACAAUGGUGAAAUUCUUCCAGUAUCCUUGUUACCUUUAAGAUGUUUGUCACACAUAGACUGAAUUUCAUUAAAAGCUUUAAGCUUAACCCUCCAACGGUAACAACCAGCAUUAAUCAUCACAGAUGGAACUCACAUGUUCUAAUGCUGCCACAACCCACUUAUCAAUGACUUGUUUUUACCUAUUGAACUUAAGACUAGUCAUUUCCUAGUAUUAAGUUGGGUUACCAUCAUUGGUGAGUUUUAUUUAAGGAGUUUUAGUUUCAUCCCUCUAGAUGUUAUCCUUACCAAAUCUCUUGUAAGAGGUUUAGUAAAAGGAUCCGUCAAGUUUCCACUUGACCUCACAAAUGAGAUUGAGAUGAUUCCAUAUUGAAUCAAUUGUCUCACAUACUCAUGUCUAAUGCUUAUAUGUCUAGACUUCCCAUUGUACAUUCCACUGUACGCACGAGCUAGAAUGGCUUGACUGUCACAAUGUAUCGACACUGUUGACACAUUAUUUGCAGCAAAAAGGAUGUCCAUCAUGAGAUCCCUAAGCCACUCAGCUUCUUUUCCAAUUGCAGUUAGAGCUAUAAAUUUUGCCUCCAUGGUUGAGUGUGAUAUACAAGUCUGUUUCUUGGAUCCCCAAGAGACAGCCCCACCACCAAGUGUAAACACCCAACCUGUGGUAGAUAAAUUAUCUCCCACACUCGAUAUCCAGCUUGCAUCUGAAUACCCUUCAAGUAUAGCAGGAAACUUUGAAUAUUGGAGGCUUAGUUCUUUGGUAUUCUUUAGGUAAUCAAGAACUCUACCAAUAGCUUUCCAAUGUUCCACGCUUGGAUUGCUAAUAAACCUACUUAGUUUACUAAUUGCAAAUGAAAUGUCAGCCCGAGUACACUGAGCAACAUACAUAAGACUUCCAAUUGCACUUGCAUACUCAAGUUGAGCCACCGAUCUACCAUCAUUCUUUUCAAGUUUUAUACUUGAAUCAAAUGGAGUAUUAACAUCUUUAAUCUUAAGAUGACUAAAUUUGCUAACUACUUUCUCAAUAUAGUGGGUUUGGUUCAAAGCAUAACCCCCACUAUUUCUUUUCACUUUGAUACCCAAUAUUGUAUCAACUUCUCCAAGAUCUUUCAUCUUGAAGGUUGAAGAUAGAAACCUUUUCGUUUAUAUUAUUCCUUUCAUGUCAUCACUCAAGAUUAACAUGCCAUCCACAUAUAGACACACUAUGACCAUAUAGUCAUCACAAGUCUUAGAAUAUAAGCACUUGUCCACAUUGUUGUGUCUAAAUCCAUUCGAAAGAAUAGCAUGAUCAAAUUUUUUGUGCCAUUGUUUAGGAGCUUGUUUAAAACCAUAUAAUGAUUUGACAAGCUUACACACUUUGUUUUCAUUCCCCAGUAGAACAAAACCUUCCGGUUGUUCCAUGUAGACCUCCUCAUUGAGAUCCUCAUUCAAGAAUGCCGUUUUGACAACCAUUUGAUGAACAAAUAGAUUAUGAAUUGAUGCCAAAGCAAACAAUAUCCUAAUCGAUGUUGUUCUAGCCACCGGCGCAUAGGUAUCAAAAUAAUCAAUACCUUCUCUUUGUUUAAACCCCUUAGCUACUAAUCUAGCCUUAAAGGUUUGAAUCAUGCCAUCGGUGUGAUAUUUCCUUCGAAAUACCCACUUGCACCCUAUUGGUUUAGAUCCUGGUGGUUCCACCAUUUUGUCUCUUGAUCUCGAUUCUUCCUCAAUGCGAAGAUGUUUUUGAAUCUCUUCCAAGGAGUAAUCUUCACUCUUGUGGAGAAUCCUCUUUCGGUAACCUUUCCAACUUGAUGGUAAUUUAGCCAUAAUAGCACCAACUUGGAAGGCCUCCGGAAGUUCAAUUUUGAGAACUUUCAACUUAUUCACAAUUACUUGCAACUCAUGAAUUUGUGGUAAGAGAGGCUUUUCAUCAAAAAAUUUGAAAUCUAUGUAUUGAGAAAUAAGAAACUUUUUGGUACCUUCUUCCUCGGCUUUGUACUUGUUUUCAAGAGCCUCCCAAAUCUCCCUCGCGGAAUAAGUGUUGGUGUAGAGAUCAUAUAGCCUAUCGGAUAAGGCGUUCAAAAUAUGACCCCUACAUAUGAGCUCAUCCUCCUCCCUCUUCUUCCUUGCCGCCACCACUUGAGGUGUGUCAUUUUCCUUUGGUUCCGGUAACGGUGCCAAGGUAGGAUCAAGGAUGUAGAAAAUCUUGAGUGCUGUGAGAAGGAAUCUCACCUUGUCUUGCCACCUAGUGAAGUUGGAACCAUCAAAACGAUCCAACCUCACAAGGUCUUGGUUCAUAAUCUUGAUAGUCUCUCCUUCCAUUGCAAUUAGAGUCUUUGAUUGAUAGAAAAAUUUUGGAUACAAUGGAGAAAAGAAACACUCUCUAACACUCACUUUGAUACAAUAAAACUCUCAAAGUUACAAAAUAAGAACAAGAAGAAGAAGAACACAAGAAAGACUCAAACAAGUUCUUGGAACUUUGUCCAAAGACUCUAUUUCCUCCCACCUCUAUAAAUCCUUAGGGAAUUAAUGGAAAUAGUUUUGGGAUUGAUCAAGCCUUUUCACUUUUCUGCAUAAGAUUUCAAAAAGAAGAAUAGUCGUAUAAAGCACUCUUAGGGUUGAAAAUGGUUACAAGGAUGAGAAAAAACUCAUUGUCUUCCUCAAUCUCUUCAUCUUUGUAACAUUCAAAAAAUUAAAUCAUAUGUUUAAUUCACACAUUAAACAUGAUUUAAUCUCAAAUGUGUAACUCUCUUACACUUAACCUCUUAAGUUUUAUAAAGUUACAAAAAUGAGAAGACUCAUUGUCUUCCUUAACCUUUCAAGUUUUGUAACAUUUCAAAACUUAAUCAUGUGUUUAAUUCACACAUUAAAAAUGUAACCCUUCUUACACUUUAUUUUCAAAAGUUAUUUUUUAAAAGUGUGACUCUUCUUACACUUUAUUUUUUAACCAACUAUAUAUAUAUAUUUAUAUAAAUAUAACACUCCCACUCUUCUCUCUAGCCUUUUCUUUUUUAUUUAUUUAUUUAUUUUAUUCUUCCAUAUUUCUUCUCCACGCCACUUCCCAUCUCUCCAUCGCCAUUGUCGGUGGCGUGACGCCGGAGCCAUUUCCAACGCCCCCUCCAUCCAUUUUUUUCUCCCAUUUUUUUAUUGUCUUCCUUUUUUUUGUUAUUUUAUUUUGUUUUUGUUUUUCAAAAAGCCAUCAACCCUUAUCGCCGCCGGCGAAACCACCGGUCAAUUGCCAUCAACAAGCCACUCUUCGCCGAUGACCUCCUCCUCUUUUCUCUCAUUCCCUCACUUUUCCAUCACACUCAUUUUUCAUUAUUAUUAUUAUUAUUAUUAUUAUUAUUAUUAUUCUUUAUUUGAUUUUAAUAGUAAUUAUUGUUUGUGAUAUUUGAAUUAUUGAAUUAAUAUGAAAUUUUUUAACUUUGUUAAUUAAUAUAGAAUUUAGGUUAAUUUGUUGUUGGUAAAUUAAUAUGAAAUUUAGAAUAAUUUAUUAUGGGUGAAUUAAUUUGGAAUUUGUUAAUUUGGCUUUGAUUAGUUGAUAAUUUAUAUAGUUGUACUCAUUUGAAUUAUUUAAUUUAGAUAUGAUAUAAUAUUAUGGUAUAUUUUGGACGUGGGUUUGCAUAUUAAAUUGAGUUGAUUUUGGUUGUGAAUUUAGGUUUGUAUAUUAAAUUAGGCUUGAAUUAUGAUAUAUUAAAUUUAAGCCUAAUAAAAUUUAUUUUAAUUUAUCUAAUUUUAGGUUUGGUUGAUUGUGUUUGUAUUUUGAUUAUUAAUUUGGAUAUUUUGGGUUAAGAUCUAUAGUAAUUUAAGCUCAUUUUAAUUGACGAAAUUUAUUAGAUUAAUUUGAAAUUUGAAUUUGGGUUUGAAUAUUUGUUUGAGAUUUUGUACAUGUAUGGAUAUUUACUUUGGGUUAUUUUUAUUUUUGCAUAAGCUCAUUCUAUAAUUUUGUUAGUUGAAUACAAAUUUAUGACACGUGGAGUAUAGAAUUUCAUGAGAGAAAGUGAGAUUUGAAAAGCUGUAAAUAGAGUAUUGAACUUGUUGUAAGUUUAAUUAGAUACACAUUUUAUUACCUUAUUUUAUUUUAUUUUUAUUUUAUUGGUUUCUAUAAAUAUUUAUUUGUAUAUAUUUAUUGAGUGUGUAUAGAAUUGAAUAUCAAACAAAUUAGAAAUUUUGUUUAAAUAAAAGGAAUAAUUCAGUAAACAUGUUUUAAUAAAAUAAUAAUUUUAAAAUAUUCUUCUUAAUAAAAGAAAACUUUUUUAGUAAUAAAAAUUCAUAAAAAUGCUUUUAUAAAAAUCCAAAAAAAUUGUUUUUAAUAAUGAUUGUCCAAAAAUUUCUUUGUUAAAUAAAAAAUAUCCAAAAAUUGUUUUGUAAAUAAAGGUGUUCCAAAAAUUAAUUAUUAAUUAAAAAUUCUUUUGCAAAUAAAGUUAUAUUUUUUUAAAAUAAUUUGUAUAAGUCACUUUGGUGGUAAUGUUAUCUCUUAGUUCGCAAAUAAAUGUUUGUUGCUCAAUCUUCCAUGGUAUCAGGCCUUGCUUGCACAGUUGCCUUCAAUUCCCUAAGACACUUAUUAUAAAUUGUGACAACAUUCAUGCUACCUACCUUUCUAUCAGUUUUUUUUCACUCAAAAAUGAAAUACAUUACUAUCAACUUUCACUUUGUGUGUGAUCAUGUUGUCAAUAGGAAUCUCAUCAUACCAUAUAUCUCUACCAAAGAUCAACUUGCAAAUGCUUUGACUAAGCCUUUGAGUCGACAACUCUUUUUUUGGAUUUGAUCCAAGAUUGGUGUCUCUAAUGGGAGCACCAUCUUGCAGCGGAGUAAUAGUGUAGAAUCUCGUUCUUGCAAUCUUGCAGCUUCACAUCCUGAUAUUCAAGCCUCACAAACUCAACCAAAAUCCCUAAAUGGAUGAAAUUUCUGUUGUAAUCAAUGACUAAUUACAUGGGUCAACUAUAAAUCAUUCGGCCAUAAUUUAUGAUAUCAUUUUUGUAAUUUUCUGUGCAUAAUAUUCACUCUGUAUUUAUAUAAUGUCUUGACCGUAAAUGAACACAAGCUUUCUCAUCAGUAUUAUUUUUGUCUGUUAGCCCCAAAUAUUGUUUGUUUUAUAUGAAAAUGUUAACCCCAAAUGUAUGACUUUGUUGUUUGUUUUAUAUGGAAAUGACAGUAAUCUAGAAGCACUCACUCUUGCCUCAAUUUUCAACAAAGGCGGACACAAAUCUUACGAAAACGACAGGUAAAAGAAAAUAGAUUGAAACAGCUAAGCCAUGACAUCAGUUUCUCGGCCCCCAAGACUAAUCAGGCUGGUUAUGAAAAGUCGUUUACAACCCAUUUAGCCACAAGUAUAAGUGUCACACCACCGCAAAGCCCUCAAAACAUCCAAUAUUUCUCUCUUUGCAGUGACUGCUAGUUAGUGAUGAAACAAACUGAGCUUGUCUUCAUCCCACUUCCGAUCAUUGGCCACCUUUCACCUACAGUGGAGAUGGCAAAGCUGCUUACUCAGCGAGACCCCCGAUUCUCAAUCACGAUCUUCAUCAUGAAGUUUCCGUUUGGGUCCAUUGAUAGUAUGACCACGGACUCUGAUUCCAUACGUUUCGUCACACUUCCUCCUGUAGAGUUCAGCUCCGGAGCGACGACGCCUGGUCCCUUCAUGUCUGAAUUCAUCAAAGCUCAGACACUACUCGUCAGAGACGCAGUCCACGAGCUCACUCGCUCCAACUCGGUUCGGCUCGCUGGGUUCGUUAUUGACGCGCUCUGCACCCACAUGAUUGAUGUGGCCGAUGAGUUUGGGGUGCCUUCCUAUCUCUUCUCCACUUCCAGCGCCGCUUCUCUUGGCUUCCUGUUGCAUCUUCAGUUCCUCCAUGACUAUGAGGGGUUGAAUCUUGAUGAGUUCAAGGACUCGGAUGCUGAGUUGCAGGUUCCGAGUUAUGCUAACUCGGUUCCAGGUAAGGUCUUCCCUCCUAUGAUUUUUUACAAGGAACUCGGUGGGGCUCCGGGGUAUAUGUAUCAUAUGAGGAGAUUAAGACAAGCCAAGGGUGUUAUGGUAAAUACAUUUAUUGAUCUUGAAUCACAUGCUAUUCAAUCAUUUUCUGGGAGUAAAAUACCGCCGGUGUAUCCCGUUGGACCCAUUCUCAACACCCAAAUGGGAUAUGGUGGGGAUCAACAAGAUGCUAGUGCCAUCAUGAGCUGGCUUGAUGAUCAGCCCCCAUCGUCAGUUGUUUUCCUUUGCUUCGGGAGCAUAGGAAGCUUUGGUGCGGAUCAGAUCAAGGAGAUAGCAUAUGGGUUAGAGCGCAGUGGGCAUCGCUUCUUGUGGUCCCUUCGCCAAGCUCCCCCAAACGGUAAAAUGGCAUUUCCAAGGGACUUUGAAAAUAUUGAGGAAGUUCUACCGGAAGGGUUUUUACCGCGGACGGCUGGAAUUGGAAAGAUGAUUGGAUGGGCUCCACAAGUAGCGGUUUUAGCUCACUCAGCUGUUGGAGGAUUUGUUUCUCAUUGUGGAUGGAAUUCUCUCCUAGAAAGCAUAUGGAAUGGUGUUCCAGUAGCCACAUGGCCAAUGUAUGCGGAACAACAAAUCAAUGCAUUUCAAAUGGUGAAAGAUUUAGGAUUAGCAGUAGAAAUUAAAAUUGAUUAUGAUAAGGAUAACAGCUAUAUUGUAAAUGCUCAUGAGAUUGAAAACGGAUUAAAGAAAUUGAUGAGCAUUAAUAGUGAAGUGAGGAAGAAAAUGAAUGAAAUGCAACAAAUAAGUAGAAGAGUUAUGAUAGAUGGUGGAUCCUCGCACUCUUCUUUAGGUCAUUUUAUUGAAAACGUAAUGACUAAUAUUCCAUAACCUAAUGUAUCGUAUCGUUAUUUUACCAUAUGUUUUUAUUUCAAUGCUGAUGUAAUUUCUUUGAUUUCGAAAUCUAUAAGAAAGUUUGUUCUCUUUUUAUCAUUUAAUGAAGAAAGUUUAAAAUGACAUAAAUUUAAUCAUAUGAAGAUCUCAGUUGUUAAUGAAUGCACAAUUGAUAAUCUUCCGGAGUUAAGUUAAUUAUAAAAUAACAAUAUAAUUUACAAUCAACAAAGUUAUUAAAAUUGUUUUAUUAAGGUCAAUAGUAAUAGUACCAUUGGGAAUUUGAUGGUCCAAUUUGAACUUGGACUCCUAAAAGUCUAUUUUAUUAUAGUAAGUACUAGAAUUUGUUCAAUUGGAUCACUAUUAAGGUUGGAAAGAGAAAUGUCAAGAUGAUCAUUAAUUUUGUAACAUACAUAAUUAAGUAAUAAUUAAUAGGAAAUUACUUUUUCAAGACCUAUUAAAUUAAAAUUAAAAUUCAAAAAAAAAAAAAGUUAGGUGAAUAAACAAAAUAAUAACUUUUAUAUAAAUAAAAAAAUUAUUAAAAAAAAUGAGGAGUUCACGUGCUUUCAAAAAUUCCAUGUAAUAAAAAUGCUUUUAACUUCAAAAUUUUAAUCUAUUGUUUUUUUGAAGGGAAAUUUGUCUUAUUUAUAUAAGAAUUUUUAGUAGUUUGUUAGUUUAAUUAUGUAGGACAUGGACCUUAAGCAAACUCUUCGGGUCAUAUUAUUUUAUUGUGUUUCCUUUUCAAAUAGGAGUUGACAUAAGUACCCUUCUCUACAUACACUAUGAAGUGAUCGGACUACCCUCAAUUGUCAUCAAAAUUUCAUGUAUUUACCUCAUGUAGCGUCCAAUUCUUCACAUCCUCAUAUGUGACAUUCGACAAGUUUUUCAACACCUACAUCAUACACUAUAACACCCCAAAUUAAUUUUUAAGGUUAGAAACACAAACUAGAAAUACAAUAAAUAAAUAAAUAAAUAAUUUUAGUAAGAGUAGAAAGUUCUUUUUGUAUUUAAAAACCCUAUAAAAUAUAUUUUUCUUGUCAUCUCUUUACAUAAACCCUUUGUGCAUAGAGAUAAGAGAAAUUAGGAAACGCGGGACUGAAGAUUUAGGGAUUUAGGGUUUGAAGAUCAGUUUUUUGGAUAAUAUUUUUAACCUUAAGAUUAGCAUUUUAUAUUCAUUAAUUAAUUUUGAAUAUUUUUUAAAAAAAAUUGAAAGAUCUCAAUAUAGAUUAGGGUUUGUUAUUUAAUUUUUUUUUAGAUAAAAAAGAUUGGAAAUUUAUGAACAUAGGUAGAUUUAUUGAUGAAGAAUAACAUGUCCCUAAUUUAGUACCAUAAGAAAGUCAGCUAUGAAGGACAUACUGUUCCUGUCACAAGUAAGUUAUUUACAUAGACAAGAAAGUAAAUGGUGACAUUGUUGCAAUUGUAAAUAAAAAGAGAGGGAUCUUUUUAAUGAGACAUGGGAGGCUUGCACUAUUUUCAUGGUACCGAAGCUCUCUCCAUGCCUCAAGGGUUACUGCUCACUCAUCAUAGAUAUAUAUGGGAUCUUCUCACUUGCACCAAACUAGAUGGUGCCAAGGAGGUUAUUAUACAACUCUCUACACCUACCUCCUUUACUCUUCAUGAUAGCUUGCCCAUUUCAUGCACUGUUCAACAGGUAAGUAUCUACUUCGCUAUCUUAAGCACACUAUCCAUCAUGGUCUUCUCCUUAAGUGUCAUCAACCUUUGGCUCUAACGACCUUUUUUUUAUGUUGACUAGGCUGGCAAGAGGGAUGACAGGACCUCUAUACUACACAUAUUGUCUACCUUGGUGGUAAAGUUAUCUCUUGGUGCUCUCGCAAGCAAAAGUUUGUUGUUCAAUCUUCCGUGGAGGUUGAAUAUCAUGUCCUUGCUUGCAUAGCAAUAGAAUUCCUUUGGCUCAAAUCUCUUUUGGGUGAACUUAGCCUUCAACUCUCUAAGACACCUAUUAUAAAUUGUGACAACUUUGGUGCUACCUACCUUUCUAUCAAUUUCAUUUUUCACUCAAAAAUGAAGCACAUUGCUAUCAACUUUCACUUUAUGCAUGAUCAUGUUAUCAAUGGGAAUCUCAUCGUAUCAUAUAUAUCUACUAAAGAUCAACUUGCAAAUGCUUUGACUAAGUCUUUGAGUUGACAACUCUUUCUUCAGCUUUGAGCAAAGAUUGGUGUCUUUUAUGGGAGCACCAUCUUGUAGUGGCAUAAUAGUGCAAAAUCCCAUCCUUACUAUCUUACAUAUUCACAUCCCAAUAUUCAAGCCUCACUAGCUCAGUCAAAAUCUCUAAAUGGAUGAAAUUCUGCAAUAAUCAAUGACUAAUUACAUGGGUCAAUUAUAAAUCAUUCAGGCAUAAUUUAUGGUAUCAUUUUUGUAAUUUUUUGUGCAUAAUAUUCUUACUAUGUAUUUAUAUAUAGUGUAUUGACUGUAAGUGAAUACAAGCUUUAUAAUAAGUAUUAUUUUUUUCUGUUAGCCCCAAAUGUAUGACUUUAUUGUUUGUUUUAUAUGAAAAUGACAGAAAUCUAGAACCACUCACUCUUGCCUCAAUCUUCAACAAAGGCCACAACAAAAGUAAAAGAAAAUAGAUUGAACCAUCUAAGCCAUGACAUCAGUUUCUCGACCUCCAAGACUGUUAGGCGUGUUAUGAAAAGUCGUUGUAAUGACUGCUAGUUAGUGAUGAAACAAACUGAGCUUGUCUUCAUCCCAUUUUCCAAUCAUUGGCCACCUUUCGCCUACAGAUUGCAAAGUUGCUUACUCAGUGAGACCCCCGAUUCUCAAUCACAAUCUUCAUCAUGAAGUUUCCGUUUGGAUCCAUUGAUAGUAUGACCACGGACUCUGAUUCCAUACGUUUUGUCACACUUCUCCCUAUAGAGAUCAACUCCGGAGCGAUGACGUUGUUCCCUUCAUUUCUAAAUUCCUCAAAGCUCAAAUAUUACUCGUCAGAGACGCAGUCCACUAGCUCACUCGCUCUAACUCGGUUCUGGUUGUUGGGUUCGUUAUUGACAUGCUUUGCACCCACAUGAUUGGAAAGGUGAUUGGGCUCCACAAGUAGCGAUUUUAGCCCACUAAGCUGUUGGAGGAUUUGUUUCUCAUUGUAGAUGGAAUUCUCUCCUACAAAGAAUAUGUUAUGGUGUUCAUGUAGCCACAUGACCAAUGUACGUGGAACAACAAAUCAACACAUUUCAAAUGGUGAAAGAUUUAAGGUUGGCAAUAGAAAUUAAAAUGUGUUAUAAUAAGGAUAACAUUGAUAUUGUAAGUGCUCGUGAGAUUGAAAACAGAUUAAAGAAUUUAAUGAGUAUUAGUAGUCAAGUGAGAAAGAAAAUGAAUGAAAUGCAACACAUAAGUAGAAGAGUUAUGAUAGAUGGUGGAUCCUCGCACUCUUCUUUAGGUCAUUUUAUUGAAAACAUGAUGACCAAUAUUUCAUAACCUAAUGUAUCAGAUUAUUACUUUAUUAUAUGCUUUAUUUCAAUGUUGAUGUAAUUUCUUUGAUUUCAAAAUUUAUAAAAAAAAGUUUGUUCUCUUUUUAUCAUUUAAUGAAGAAAGUUUAAAGGACAUAAAUUUAAUCAUAUGCAGAUCUCGAUUACUAACAAAUGUACAAUUAAUUAUCUUCAUGUAAGGAGUUAAAAUAAAUAAUAAAGUAAACAAUAUUAUUAAUAAUCAACAAAGCUAUUAAAAUUGUUUUAUUAAGGUGAUAGUAAUAAUACCAUUGGGAAUUAUCCGAUCCAAUUUGAGCUUGGACUCCUAAAAGUCCAUUUUAUUAUAGUGAGUACUAAAAUUUGUUCACUUGGGUCACUAUUAAUGUUGAAAAGAGAAAUAUCCAAAAUGAUCAUUAAUUGUCUAACAUACAUAAUUGUGAAACCAAGGUUUGGUUAAUCUUGAUUUUGAUGAUAACAAAAUAAGGUUUAAAACUAAUAAUCAUAUUUCAAGCGUGAUUAGGCAAGACGAUUUUCAAAGUGGCAAUCACAAAGACAAAUCAAGCCAAGGAGAAAUCAUGAAGAAGAAGACCACCUCAAAGAGAAGAGUUUUUCAAGACCCAAGCUUCAUAAGAUCUCUUUGUAAGGUUGUUGGUGCACUAGGAUUUUCAUACAUUUCAUUCUUUAUUUAUGCACCAAAAUCAUUCAAGAGUAAUAUUGUUUUAAAUAUCUUUAGAAUAGGAUGAUUUCAUGUUUUCAACUAAAACCUUGUGUUAAAUGAUUUUCAAACUUGUGUUAAAAGAUUUUAAGUUGAAAAAGGUUGGGUGUUGGACCAAAAAAUGGCUCAGCCGGUUCAACCAGUUGAGGAACCGGUCGACCGGUUGUGCUCGUCCGGUCGAGGGAGGCCAAAAAUUUUCUCUCUCUUCCAGUGGCCUUCUCUUCCCGGUCGAGGUGAUUCUCUUACUAGUCGAGGUCCGAUCGAGGACCGGUCGGGGUCCGGUUGAGGCCAAUGAUCACCUGCCAAGCAUUUAAUGCUAACGGCUAGUCAAUCGGUCGACCCUUAGCUUGACCAGUCGAACCCCCAAACGGCUAGUUUGGCUUUUCUCUUCUAUAAAAAUGCUCCAAUUUUCAUUGUUUAAAUAACUUAACAUUCCCAAAUCUUUCUUGAUUAUAUUUGAGUCUUGGAAGAGUAUUUUUUAGUGCACCAUUAUUUCAAAACUUGCAUAUCUUUAGUGCACCAUUCAAUCCUAGUUUUUAUUGUAUCAUUUGAGCUUAAAGUUCUUAUACUAGGAUUUUUGUGAGAUCUUUUAUUUGUAAAUCCUUGAGAGGAAGUUGUUCAAGAGUGGGAUAUCUCCUGAGAAGUGUAAAGGAUGCUUGGAGCCAAAAGUCCAAGAGGGUGAAUUGGAACCAUAAUCCAAUUGUAUUGCUUGAAGGCUUAGUUUGAAAGCCUUGGUUUAAUGGAACCUCAAACUUGGGAUUGAAGUUAAAGGAGAGUGGAUGUAGGCCGGGUUGCGUUGAACCACUAUAAACUCUUAUGUUUGCAUUUUUCUCUUCACUACUUUUUAAUUUAUAUGAAAUUGUCUAUAUAUUAAUUAUUAUAUAAUUGCAUAUAAUUUUUUUCUAUUUAUAUAAGAAUUUUUUAGUUUAAUUUUGUAGAACAUUAACCAUAAGCGAACUCUUCGAUUCAUAUUAUUUUAUUAUUUUUUCUUUUUUAUGUUUCCUUUUCAAAUAGGAGUUGACAUAAAUACCCUUCCCUACAUUGAACUACCCUUAAUUGUCAUGUAGUGUCCAAUUUUUCAUGUCCUCACAUGUGACAUUCGACGACCAUGUGGUGCUUCUAAUAUAUUCUCAAUAAUUCUUUAUAUCUCUAUGCAUGACAUUUGACAACUCCAAAGUAUGACAUGUGACGCUUCUAGUAUAUCCCUAAAUUAAUACUUAUAGCUUAGCUAAUGUAAUUUUUUUUUCUAGUCCAUUUGCAUAGUUUUGAGGUUAUCCAACUUUUCUAAUUAUUUUAAAUUAUUGGAAACUUAAUUAUUUUACUAAUGUUUUACUUUUUCUAAUUAUUUUAAAUUCAAUUGGUUUUUUAAUUGUUUUAUUUGUUUUACUAAGGUUUUACUUUCUCCAAUUAUUUAUAAUUUAAUUGAAUUUUUAAUUGUUUAAUUUAUUUAUUUUCAAAAAUUGAAAAAAAAAAAAGUAUCUAAAAAUCCAAGAUGUUACACAAUCAAUGUAGAGAAAAAGAAAAAGUAAAAGAAAUUUUAUAUAAUUCCAAAUAACAUAUCUUUUUUUUUUUCACAAAAAUCAAUACUAAUUCCCCUAACCUCAAAGAAACGCACAAUUUUUUUGAAAAAUUUAUUGUUAAAGAACUUAAUCAUCAUCUAACAUAAUAUAAAAAAUAAAUAAAUAAUCAUUACUAUUAAUUAUUUAGCUAAAAUUAUAAUUUGAUAUUCCUGAAAAUUGUAUAUAUCAUUAUUAUUAUUAUUAUUCCUCAUUAUAUUAAUUUAAUUAAUCUAUUCUUAAAUUUAGGUUGAGUUAGUAAAUUUCCCAUUUACCUAAAAUUACUAACCUCAAAACUUGAUGCUAUAAAUAUACCAAUUUGAUUUUAUUAAACCAAGAUUUUAUUUUAUUUAUUUAUUUAAAACUAAACAUUUUAUUAUACCAUCUCAUUACUCUUUUUUUUUUUUUUUUACUAAAACCUCAUUGAUGGCAUUAAAUUCUUCACCAGAAUUCAAACAUCACUAUAACUUUCUUUUAUUAUUUUAUCAUACCAUCCCAUUACUCCUCCUAUAUCUUGCUGGAAUGGAUCUUCGUUUGCAGCAUCAAAUUCUCCACUAGCAUUCAAACAUCACUGCGACACCUACAUCAUACACUGUAACAGCUCGAAUUAAUUUCCGAGGUUAUAAUGGUAAAUUAGAAAUACAAAAAAAUGAAAUAACUUUAAUAAGAGUAGAAACUUUUUUUGUAUUUAAAAACCCUAUAAAUUUCAUUUUUCUUCUCUUCUCUUUACAUAAACCCUUUUUGUAUAGAGAUAAAGGGGAAUUAGAGAACAAAGGCUUGAAGAUCAAUUUUUUAAACAAGAUUACUAACCUUGAGAUUAGUAUUUUAUAUUUAUUAAUUAGUUUUAGACAUUUAAAAUUUUUUUUGAAAGAUCUCGAUAUAGAUUAAGGUUUGUUAUUUAAAUUUUUUUUAGAUAAAAAAAAUUACAAAUAUAUGAACAUAAGUAGAUUUAUUAAUGAAAAACAACACGUCUCUAAUUUAGCACCUUAAGAAAGUUAGCUAUGAAGGAUAUGUUGUUCAAUCACAAGUCAUCCAUAUAGACAAAAAAGUAAAUAUGACAUUGUUGUUGCAAUUGUAACUAAAAAGAGAUGGAUUUUCUUAAUAAAAGACAAUGAAGACUUGCAUCAUUUUUUUGGCAUCGAAGUUAUCUCUAUGCCUCAAGGGUUACUACUCACUCAUCAUAGAUAUGUACGGGUGUAGAUCCUAAAAUUUGUUUUAAUUUUAUUUUUAUAUUAAUUUUGAUCAUAAUUUUAUUCUUAAAUUUUAAAUCUCGAAUACAUAUGAUAUUUUUGACCCAUGCACUAUUUAAUUCUUAAUUUUUAUUAUUAUUAUGUUUUUCUUUCUUUUUCUUUUUUUCUUUCUUUUCUCUCUCCUCUCUCCUCCACCUACCGCCCAUACACGUGGAGUAUAGAAUUUCAUGGGAGAAAGUGAAACUCGAAAAGCUGUAAAUAGAGCAUCGAACUUGUUGUAAGCUUAUUUAGGUACACAUUUUAUUACCUUAUUUUAUUUUAUUGGUUUUUAUAAAUAUUUAUUUGUAUAUAUUUAUUAAGUGUGUACAGAAUUGAAUAUCAAAUAAAUCAAAAAUUUUGUUUAAAUAAAAUGAAUAAUUCAGUAAACAUAUUUUAAUAAAAUAAUAAUUUUAAAAUAUUCUUCUUAAUAAAAGAAAGUUUUUUAUUAAUAAAAAUUCAUAAAAACGCUUUUAGAAAAAUCCAAAAAAAAAUGUUUUAAUAGAAUUUGAAAUUUUUUUUUUAAUAAUGAUUGUCCCAAAAUUACUUUGUUUAAUAAAAAUUGUCCAAAAAUUGUUUUAUAAAUAAAGUUGUCCCAAAAAUUAAUUUUUAAUUAAAAAUUAUUUUGCAAAUAAAGGUUUUUUUUUUUUUUUUAAUAAUUUGUAUAAGUCACUUUGGUGGUAAUGUUAUCUCUUGGUUCGCAAGCAAAUGUCUGUUGCUCAAUCUUCCACGGAGUUUGUAUAUCAGGCCCUUGCUUGCACAGUUGCCGAAGUCCUUUGGUUCAAAUCUCUUUUGGGUGAACUUAGCCUUCAACUCCCUAAGACACUUAUUAUAAAUUGUGAUAACAUUCAUGCUACCUACCUUUCUAUCAAUUUCUUUUCACUCAAAAAUGAAAUACAUUGCUAUCAAUUUUCACUUUGUGUGUGAUCAUGUUGUCAAUGAAAAUCUCAUCAUGCCAUAUAUCUCUACCAAAGAUCAACUUGCAAAUGCUUUAACUAAACCUUUGAGUCGACAACUCUUUCUUCGGAUUCAAUCCAAGAUUGGUGUCUCGAAUGGGAGCGCCAUCUUGCAGUGGUGUAAUAGUAUAUAAUCUAGUUCCUGCAAUCUUACAGCUUCACAUCCUGAUAUUCAAGCCUCACAAACUCAACCAAAAUCUCUAAAUGGAUGAAAUUUUUGUUGUAAUCAAUGACUAAUUACAUGGGUCAACUAUAAAUCAUUCGGCCAUAAUUUAUGGUAUCAUUUUUGUAAUUUUCUGUGCAUAAUAUUCACUCUGUAUUUAUAUAAUGUCUUGACCGUAAAUGAACACAAGCUUUCUCAUCAGUGUUAAUUUCUUUUUCUGUUAGCCCCAAAUAUUGUUUGUUUUAUAUGAAAAUGACAGAAAUCUAGAAGCACUGACUCUUGCCUCAAUUUUCAACAAAGGCCGACACAAAUCUUACAGAUACGACGAGUAAAAGAAAAUAGAUUGAAACAGCUAAGCGGUGACAUCAGUUUCUCGGCCCCCAAGACUAAUCAGGCUGGUUAUGAAAAGUCGUUUAUAACCCAUUCAGCCACAAGUAUAAGUGUCACACCACCGCAAAGCCCUCAAAACAUCCAAUAUUUCUCUCUUUGCAGUGACUGCUAAGUUAGUGAUGAAACAAACUGAGCUUGUCUUCAUCCCACUUCCGAUCAUUGGCCACCUUUCGCCUACAGUGGAGAUGGCAAAGCUGCUUACUCAGCGAGACCCCCGAUUCUCAAUCACGAUCUUCAUCAUGAAGUUUCCGUUUGGGUCCAUUGAUAGUAUGACCACGGACUCUGAUUCCAUACGUUUAGUCACACUUCCUCCUGUUGAGAUCAGCUCCGGAGCGACGACGCCUGGUCCCUUCAUCUCUGAAUUCAUCAAAACUCAGACACUACUCGUCAGAGACGCAGUCCACGAGCUCACUCGCUCCAACUCGGUUCGGCUCGCUGGGUUCGUUAUUGACGUAUUGUGCACCCACAUGAUUGAUGUGGCCGAUGAGUUUGGGGUGCCUUCCUAUCUCUUCUCCACUUCCAGCGCCGCUUCUCUUGGCUUCCUGUUGCAUCUUCAGUUCCUCCAUGACUAUGAGGGCUUGAAUCUUGAUGAGUUCAAGGACUCGGAUGCUGAGUUGCAGGUUCCGAGUUAUGCUAACUCGGUUCCAGGUAAGGUCUUCCCUCCUAUGAUUUUUGACAAGGGAGUCGAUGGCGCUGCAGGGCAUGUGUAUCAUAUGAGAAGAUUAAGACAAGCCAAGGGUGUUUUGGUAAAUACAUUUAUUGAUCUUGAAUCACACGCUAUUCAAUCAUUUUCUGGGAGUAAAAUACCGCCGGUGUAUCCCGUUGGACCCAUUCUCAACACCCAAAUGGGAUAUGGUGGGGAUCAACAAGAUGCUAGUGCCAUCAUGAGCUGGCUUGAUGAUCAGCCUCCAUCGUCAGUUGUUUUCCUUUGCUUCGGGAGCAUAGGAAGCUUUGGUGCGGAUCAGAUCAAGGAGAUAGCAUAUGGGUUAGAGCGCAGUGGGCAUCGCUUCUUGUGGUCCCUUCGCCAACCUCCCCCAAAGGGUAAAAUGGCAUUUCCGAGAGACUAUGAAAAUAUUGAGGAAGUUCUACCAGAAGGGUUUUUACAUCGGACGGCUAGAGUUGGAAGGAUAAUUGGAUGGGCUCCACAAGUAGCGGUUUUAGCCCACACAGCUGUUGGAGGAUUUGUUUCUCACUGUGGAUGGAAUUCUCUCCUCG